AUUGCAAAACACCUAAAGGUGUUUAACAAAGGAGUCCACUACACUCUGAAGAGACUAGAGGGACCUGGAAGUUAUGAUGAUAGACAAAGACCUGGACGAAAGAUAGUUACUACAAAAGCAGAGGAUAAACAUAGCAUUGUCACCAGUAAGAGAGAUCGGCGAAAGACAGCACCACAAAUAAGGGAGGAAACCAACAUGACAAGGUCGAAACCCAUAUCUCUGACAACCGUGAAAAGAUGUUUGAGAAAGGCUGGUCUGAAUGGUUGUGUAUCUGCAAAAAAACACUACUUCAUCCACAGAACAAGAAGAAGAGAUAUGAGUGGGCAAAAGCUCACAAAUACUGGACUAAUGAUAACUAGAAACAAGUUUGCACUGUUUGGUUCAAAACGCAGAGUCAAUGUCUGCAGACAAACUGGUGAACGUCUUAAAGCACCCUGUGUUACACCCACAAUUCAGCAUGGAGGUGGUAGUUCCAUGGUAUGGGGAUGUUUUUCAGGUGAUGGAGUAGGAGAUUUGUUUGAAGUAAAGGGUAUCAUGAAGAAGGAAGAGUACCAGUCCAUCCUCCAGCACCAUGCUGUUCCAUCUGGACUCAGACGUGUGGCUCAUAAGUUUGUUUUGCAGCAAGACAAUGACCCUAAGCACUCUGCCAAGCUCUGUCAGGGUUACCUAGACAAAAAAGAAGAGGAAGGUGUUCUUCAAAAGAUGGUUUGGCCCCCUCAGUCUCCAGACCUUUCUCCAAUAGAGCUUGUGUGGGAUGAAUUGGAUCGAUCGGUCAGAAAAACACUUCCCAUGAAUCAGCAGUCUCUUUUUAAUGAACUUAAGAAAGCUUGGAAUGCAAUCCCUGGAACAUACCUUAGAAAAACUUUUGGAAUGAAUGCCUGGUAUAUGCCAAGCUGUUGUUAAAGCCAGAGGAGGUUACUUUAAAGAAAGCAAAGUCUAAGCAACAAUAACUCAAAUACCUUAUAAUUAUAGUCAAAAUGUCUUUUAAUAAUUUACUCUUUACACAAUAGUCAUUUAUUGUGUUGCAAAUUAUAUACAGUAUAUGAAACUAUGAUCUUUUUUUUUUUGUACAAAUCUGAUCUUGUUUCAAAACUUUGUCAUACAAGACCCCCCCCCCCCAAAAAAAAAAAAAAAAAAAAAAAAAACUUUAAAAAGGGAGAGACCUAACUGGACUGUAAUGCAUUUUUACUUUGUUAUACCCUGCAUGCUUUCAUAACAAACAUCAGCAAGUAACGUGUCAAAGGAGGACUUAAAAGAUGUAGGUCUGAGUUUGCAGCUGCAAAGGGAAUAUUGGGUCUGAGUGUUACAGGUUUUAUUGGAUUUUAAGGAUGAUGCAAGAAUGAAGAGAAAAAAAAAGGCCCCCAGUGUGAGUUAGAUUUUUAAGUUAGGUUUGAAUCCCUCACCUUGUAUUUAAGUAGUGUUUAAAACAGCAUAAAUCCUGCUGAUGAGGGGAUUUUAAGUAAGGUAGUGGUGUUUAAAUUAACGGACACUGCUGAUAUUCGGCACAUUACGUAUCCUGUGUUUUCCCACAUGCAUGCACAUACACACAGCUCUGCUGGGUUUACAUUUCCAGUUUCAGCCUCGCCCCCUCUCUCCCCGAGCUGUGUUUCAUUUUAAGUGAGUUUAUUGAGGGUAAGUCUGUUUUUCCCCUGAAAGACCAGCAGGAAAGAGAGGCAGGAACAGAGACAGAGAGACAGAGAGGGAGAAUAGCAGCCCAUAGGACACAUUUAGUAAUCCUUCCAAUGAUGUCCAGGGCCCAGUGAUGGUUACCAGACCUGCAAAUACCCCUGCAAACACACACAUACACACACAAUCCAUUUUUAUUGUAUUUGGGUCUGCAGCGUUGUAUUUCCUGCCCUCUCUUAGUGCCACACACACACUGCACUCGAAAACAAAAAUCCAUAUUAUCGACCUGCCGGUGUCACCACAAUUAUUCUUUUGAAACAGCCAUUGAAAACAAAUUACAUCUGCACUGCGUUUUCAUCCGAUUGCUCUGGGUGAGCAAUGCUCAACGGCUGGGUCGGCCCUGCCUCCGCCGACCCUCAGACCCCUCCCCAUAGGUUUGCUGUCUAUAGCAUGGUGUCGCUAACGACCACUUUCUGUGUGUUUGUGUGUUUGAAUGUGUGCAGAAAUAUGGUUAGAGAUCCGGAUGAAAAAAGUGUAGCAGAAGUAGUUAAGACAAAAAAGGAUUUAAAGGAAAGACUCGAGAAAGCAAGGUAAUACUCCUGACUUACCGCUGAACACCAUAACCAUAAACACUAUUUACUAAAGACAGGCUAAAGAAAAUGCCCAAGUAAUAUACUCUAAGAUUGAUGUAAUCCAAGUAUCCAAAUAUAAUUCACUAUACAUUUUAAUGGCUUUGGCUAGCGCUGAAAUGCUGGUUUAAUAAAACAAAUGUGUCAAAGCAGCAUCUCGGUAUUAAACAGCCUUUGAAACUCAAACCCAUUUUCCCUCUGUUUGAUUUACUUCCUGGAAGUUUUUCAGACAAAAAUGAGCUAAAGCUUCUACAAAGGUACAGCCGAGCAACUUUCACCAUAAGAUACUAUGAAGAAGUAGGUGAUUUAAGUUUUAAAAUAACAGUGAUGGAUUAAACACUCAUGGAAAGUAGGGCUGUUAGCAGUGACAUGUUAAUCAUCCAUUCAAGGUCUGAAAUUAACACCUUUUUUUUUAAUUACUUGCAUGUCUUUUUUGUUCUUUUCAGCACAUCACGGCAAAGCUGCAGCUUUAGCUUUGGUGAAAAUGAUAAAACUGCCCUUUAAUGAAUGAUUUUGUGGUUGGUAAUGAAUCUAUAUGUUUCAGUCUGAAUAUCUUCUCUUUUAGAGGACUUUCAUGAGGGGCAAUCACAAUUUUGUUUUCUGCAAUGUAAACAAAGGCCUCCAUCUUAUUUAUCUAUCAACCUAUACUCAUAUACUAUCAACCUUUUUACAGGGUAUAUUUUACCUUAAAAAAGACACAGAUAUUGCAAUUGAAAGUCAAGUGUAACGUGCACUUUGUGUCCAACAGAUUAAGAAUCACCAGAGUAAUUUAACCUUGAAACUAGUGUCUGAAGAGUCUCCCCAGGUUGGUCUAAAACAGAAGAAGUAACGAAAAUGAAACUCCUGAAAAUUACAUUUUAAUACAUUAACUAAGGACCCCUGGACACCAGUGAAGUGAGUAAUCAGAUUUACAGCCUUAAUAGAAAGUGCAAGUUUAAAACUUGUAGGUGACUACAGGACUUAAAGUUGUAAAUUUAAUGACUUUUUACCACUGACUUUGAGCUCUUCCACUGCUGCAGUUACAUAAAUAGGUUGUUUAAAGAAAUAUUUCAGUAAAAUGCUGAACAGCUAUUAAUAUAAUUUAUAACUUUUAAAAUUUAAGCUUCUCUUGCUUGUCUAAUACCACGUUAUUUUUACAUUGGACGCAAUUUUGGCAAAUAAAAGGAAUUCAGGGCUGCACUUAUCUCUCAGGUUACACAUCCAGUUUCAAAGAUUUGUUGUCUAUGUGUGCAAAUAACAGAUCAUUUUUUGCUGAUUACCCCCCAGGGUGCCGAGUAAAAAAAUAAAUAAAUAAAAAUGCAAAUCUGUGCCCAUGUAUUGCAAAUUCAUAUCAACAGGUUAUAAUCUCCAGUCUAUGUGCAGGUUUUCAAUCCAUGGGUGCUGAUUUGAUUAAAAACCCAGGUAAGGAAUUGUAAACUGAGCAGAUUUUCAAAGCAUGUGCCCAGUUUGCAAAUCCAUACCCGAUUUUGUAAGAAGUAAAUCCCAUUGACUGUCCAGUAGAAAUUAGAAAAUGUAGUAAUCUGGUAAGCUUUAAGAGGCUUUACAAGAAUAAUGUUAUUUCUCAAUACUGUAGAGAAAAUUAUAUCUGUUGAUUUAUUGUAAAUUAUUAAUGUUAAGUGUAAAGCAUAUUCAUCACUUGUUCUGAUUCGAAGAGUGAAUAUAUAUUGAAGUGUUGAUAUUUGUAUGAAGAGUGUAUCUGUAUAAUGUACUCCAUGUAUGGUAUAAGGGGUAGGUCUUUGAAAGCACUGCUUCUGCCUACACCCUUUCCGUCAUAAUAUACGGAAAUAAAUCCUAAAAACCCUCACAAAAUUCAAAAGCUGAUGCUACAGCUGGUUUUUGCAUCAGAGAUUUCCAUGAUUUUCUCUGUGUAAUAAAGUCCAUAUGCCCAUGUAUGCACGGGUUGUAAACCAUGAGUAAAGACUUGCAGUCCACAUACAGAUUUGCAAACCAUGCACAAGGAUUUGCAUGUGGCCUUUUAUUUAUUGGACUUUGCAGCCAGAGGGCUUUGUACAUAAUGAAUUCAUAUGCACAGAAAAUAACCUGUGCACAUGGACACAUGGAUUUUUAAACCCUGGGCAUAGAUUGGCAUGUGACUCUAUCUUUCUCCCUUCACCUGGCAACCAGGAGGCUCAAAUUUCACUGUGAACAAACAAAAAUUCACCAUUGACCCGUUACUCUGCAAAUUUACCAGAAACAAGAAGAUGCAGUCUUGAUGGAGUAUUCUAUUAUAUAGAUGAUAGUGGAAGUUUUAGUUUUGUAAGAAAUUUAACGCUAAUCUCUGCCCAGUAGAACGACGGCUUCUCUGGUUUAAAAACCAUAUAGCAGCAGGUUUGAAGAUAGUGUGAAAGCCACACUGAGAGGCAGCAUGAUUGCCACACCACCAUCACACCACCAUUACAUCUAACUGUGUUACUCCAUCUAACAGUAUUAGCCCACAGUCUGCCGCACACAAGCUGCCUCCAAUAGCCUCAGUCCAGUGGCGCCAUGUGACAAUGGGAGAAAACAACAACUAAUAUCCAGCCGGCACACUUGGUAAUUAAUCCUGGCCCGGCUUCCCUUGGCCAAGGAGUACAGCAAGGGCUAGAAGGCAGGAUCCCUUUGUUAAGCUUUGACCACACAAGUCACCUCGGCGGCCCUCCCGAAGCGGGGAAACGCCAACUUUGGAGUAUUAAGAAAACCAAUAGCCUUGUUGACAUGAACACGGAGGCCUAACCCCCGCAGCCUCCUCAUAUGAAGCAUUGAUUUUUCUGUCCGGCCGCGGUACUAAACCCAUUCAUUCUCUAUGGCCGAGGCCCAGACUCACACACACACACACACACACACACACACACACACACACACACACACACACACACACACACACACACACACACACACACACACACUCACACACACAAACCAACAGUUACUACUACACACAGGGGUCUGGCUAAAUUCUCGUUUCAUCCUCUCAGUCUUACCUUGGGGGUGGAAAGGUGAGGAUUAAAGUCACCCCUUCUCCCCCUCACUUUACCAUCACUCCAGCCCUCAGCCAAUAUACACACACAGGAGGUUACAUGAGUAAACACACACACACACACAGUGUAACCCACUCUGUGUGUAGAGGCCAAAGGGUAGGUGAGGUUAAACGUGUUGGGGUGCAGCAGAGGAGGUCGACCUCCUGAUCUUCAGGGAUGCAGGUCACAGAUUCAGACUGUGGCUCUCUCUCUCUCUCUCUCUCUCUCUCUCUCUCUUUCUGGCCACUGGCUUUGAGAACUACAAACACACAACUGAACAAUUACAAUGAGUUGGCUAAUAUUUGUCUUAAACAGUCAGGGAAGCUGCUUUGUUAAUACAGCAUUAGUGACACGAUUUACAUCCUCUAAAAACAGGUGUGAAGAAACACAAAAAAAGGGGAUGAUAAUGGAGUUUUUAGUCCUCUGGGUUCUGCCCUCAUUUGCUCACAACACUUCUUCAAAUGUUCACAAGAGUGAGUCAAAUUAGCUCCACUAACUACAGUUCUCAAAGUAUUUAUGCUGAAUGUAUACUGGGUGCUGGAGCUCAUGCUGGAAAACUCCCUGCAGCUCAUGAUACCACUCAGAUCUCUUGUAAUAUGAGUUGCCUCCAGAAUCAUCUUCAUACUAGUUUGUCUGUUUUGUGCUUCUGUAGAAACAUGGCAGUGAGAAGGCCAUCCCUGUGGAUGGGUACCUACUUUUACAUAGAUAUCAAAGGCUCAUUCUGAGUCAGUGUUUUCUUUACUGGGAUGGUUGCAACCAAAUCUUAACAGACUCAUGAAUAUUUUUUUCCAUUUCUAAAAAGUCUGUUCUGCUCAAUGCUAAUACAUACAGUAAUAUACACCAAACCUCUCUGAAUCAGGAUGGUUGUGAAUGUCCUGGCUCACUGAACCCUUCUGGCAAGACAUUUUAUAUUAGAAUAACAGGCUGUUAGAUACAAUUCAGUAAAUUUUCAAAUGACGUCAAAUGUAACAAGAUCUGAAGUUAAAAAAGAAAAAAACAGUAAUCACCAGGAAGAACCUUUUUUAUUUGGUGUAUUUAAAUCUUUAUCUAAAACAACGUCAACAGUGACGUUACUCUCCAGAGCUGAAUUUUACUAAAAACUGCAGUUUUGAACUCCUCUUCACUGAUGUCAUAUCUCAGGACUGGAGGUUGCUGCAUUUGUACUUCUCCAGUGUGUUCAGUGAUCACUGUAAGUGUUGUAGUUGAUUCAAAAUCCAGUCUUGAGUCUUUAAAGUCCAAGUCAAAUCCUAGUCACAAGAGAGGAAUACAAGUCAAGUCGGAGUCCAGUCCUUAUUACCAGUGUCUGAGUCCAGGUGGAGUCUUCAUCAUUUAUAUUAGCUUUUAUAAGCAUGGUGUCUCUUUCACUCUAUACUACAGACUGUCUGAACCUGGACUGAGUGUUUUGUUCUUUUAAAUAUGAAGAAAACAUAUUUCUUUUUCAAAAAUUAGAUUCUUUAAAUUUAGAUCUGCAUGUUUGGAGAUUUAAGUGACAAACGAAACUACACUCAAACUGUGUGUCCUGCAUAAAUGUAAAUUCCUCAUACCUGAAAAAGGGGGUGAAGGUUAUUAUAGUUUUGAAAAUCUCAUCAUUUUUAUCCUUGUUAUUUUUAUUUGACUUUAGUUUAAUUUUGAUUUGUUAUUAAAUUUGAAAUUUACUUACAUUUCUGUUUCAAUCAUUUAACAGGUGGGGUGUGCGCAGUCCCCUAAUUCACUACGAGAGUUAUCCCAAGACAAGAUGCUGAACAAAAAAGACAGUACUCUGUGUUUGAAAAUACAUAUAGACGAUAAUGACUCUGAAUAACUUCGAAGUAAGAACGACUGAAGUUGAAGUGACAGUCUUGCUACUUAGCAAACCACACCAACAAUGUGUACUGAUGCAUAAAAUUAUUAUUUUUAAAAAGUCAGCCCUAAGCAGCUGUAAAAACUAAAUGAGCUAUAGAGACCAAAUCUGUUCUCUGUACCAGGAUCUUUAGAUUUAAAUCUCAGUGUAAGUUAACAUGGGCUCUUAUGGGUCUCUUGUGCUUUUUCAGCAGGCCUCUAGUGGACAUUGGAGGAAAUGUAGUUUUUGCACCACUGUAUUGGCUCCAUUUUUCAAAGAUUGGUCAGAGAGACGAGCAGUUAAAACAACCUCUUUGGUUUGAUGCAGGAAACAGUUUCAUAUCGUUGCUGUCUGAUGAAAAACAUGCAUCUCCACUUUUAGUGAUCUGGACUCCCGCACAUAUCUCCUGCCCUGGCCCUGAGUUGUCAUGUUAGCAAACAGACUUUACACUGUGACAGUCAGGGGUAAUGGUACACUAAUGUCCUCACAUCGACUGAUGCCAACCUCAAACUUUUUUUCUAACCAUGACAGUGUUGCUUACCUGUGUGUUAGAUUUCUUAAGCCAAAGUUCAUCCCCAGAGGCAAAGCUGCUGCUGUUUUCUCUUUCACACUCGGUCACAGACACUAGUGCAUCUUCAAUUGGGAGUCGCGACUCAAAAAGGUUGACAACCAAUGAGCUUUGUGGAAAUGUAGGAUAGCCCAUUAUCAAUUGUUUAUCAACAUAGUGGGACAUAAACAGGAUACUCAAAGUUCGUAAAUAACCAAACGUCAUUGGAGUGCAUUAUUGAAAAAAACACGUAUGUCCACCAUCACUCACAAUGCAAAGCACGUAAGUCCAUUUAAAAUAUCAAACAGGUCACUGAUGACUGUGUUAAUAUAGCUUUUGGUUUCGGGUCCUACUUUUGUCUAAUUACAGUGUUUUUGUUUUAUUCUGUAAGGUAGUUUAUGAAUGAAAUUGUUCUUUAAUGUUCCUGAAAAAAAAUUGAGAUACGUGGUUUUUAUUGGACAACGAUGAAAGAGAGCAAAGGAGGAGAAAGCAUUUGGAGAAAACUAAUUUUCAGCGUUUUAUGCUGUUCUUGGGUUUCUGGAAUGAUUAUCAGCAUUGAUCAGGGUAUGAAUGAAGAAGUUGGUUUUUGAUUUUUUCGAUCAUGGUUUUGUCAUCACUUGUCAAAACUGCCAUUUUUCUUGCAGAAAGUCUAUAACAUGGGAGACGAGGGAAACAUGCUUGUUCCACUUUGUUUCUUUCUGCCUCAGCUUUAGACUUUUUUUUUCACUGCCUGACUUUAGACUUGUGUGCCGUACUGCAAACAGCAGAGACGUGACACAGAUGCUGAUCACUGCAUGGCUUUGGGGACGCAUGUCUCAUGAAAGCAGACACUAUUACUUUCUUUUAUUUUUCAUCCUUCUCUUUUUAACAAGCUGCAUCGGGCAGUGCAAAUUGUAGAUAUGGCGAGCUUUGGAAAGGCGGUGGUUGUGCCGCCCUGGGAUAUUUAUCCCAGGAAAAUUUGCAGUGGAGAUAUUGUGUGAUCUCUCCUUAACUCUGACAGAGAAAAAGAGAGGGAGCUGAGGGAAAAAUGGAAAUUGUAAUCACAGAAUGCUUGAGGGAAAUGCGAGCGGUUCAGCAGGAAAAAAAAGGACCAUUACAUCCAGAGACUUUUCUUUGUGGAACCUGAAAAGAAACGAGCAUUGCACUUAAAGUAAUCAGACCAUGUACCGCUGAGACCACAGGAACAAUGUGUUAAUGCAGCUUAAUCUCUAACGCCGAGGGGGUACACACUGUACACACUCUGGCUGGAUGUGGCGUUUCAGACUCUGUUCAGCUGGUAUUACAUGAUGGAAACAGGGAUUUGGAAUUAGGCUCAUUCCAGGAACAUGAAAUGCAUCAGGAUUUACAAGAAAGGAAUACAAAGCUGUGUCAUCAACGUGAACAGGUGAAUAUAUAAGGUCUGGAUAGAUAUCUAAGGCCACAGAUUGGAAAAGUUCAAACACUUUCUGUUCGUUAGAUUAAGUAUCAUGUUAUGUACACAAAGUGUCAGGUGUCUCUGCAUGAGGAGGAACAUUUCCUUUUUCUGUCAACUCAGUUUUAAAAUUCUGUGGAAAAUUCAGACACACAUACCCAAAAUCUCUCUCUCUCUUUCUCUCUAUCAGUGUGUGUGUGUGUGUGUGUGUGUGCGUGUGCGCGCGUAAUAGAACAGACAGUGAUCAGUCGGUCUACAGACAGGCUGUAGGAGGUGACAGAUGACCUCUAUCACAUCAGUAUCAGCUCUUCAUGAGACUCAAUAAGGGCACACACACUUGAUGUAAACUCAAAACCCACAGGAUGGGUGUUGAGCACUCUUCAUCAGUGUUGCGUGCUACGGCGCAAGUACGUUCACAAUUUAAGCAUUGUGGCCUGUCUCAGCUCCUUCCCAGAAACGUCUCUACAUGCUGCUCUGCAUGUAGAGCACGGUCCGCAAAGAUCAUCAUAGAAAGGAUGUCACACACGGGAGUGGUUCAUGUCAUCAGGUAAUUUCAGAAUAAAACACCAUAUGCAACUGUUUACCAGUUCAUGCAGAUAAGAAACACUUCCUGGUUAUGGAUCUACAUAAACACACAGAAAAACCCCAUGGUCUGUCCCUGAUCUGCAUGGACCGCAACAGGACCUUUAUGUUCUACCUCACCACGCUGUUAUCCUUAGACAGAGUUAGCAGCUAGUUUACUUUACUAAACAUGAGUAAACCUGCAAGAACCGAAACUUUAAAUCCUGCAGCUUUUUCAACAGUGAUAGAAUGAAAUCCAAAUUGGCAGGAAAUCGACCACAGAAAGGCAAAGCAGCCUGUUGUGAGCAUGCUGGUCUCUGUAUACUGAGUCCAGCUGACCAGUACUGCACUACGCUGCUGCUACGCUACAAACACGCUUACAGUGGGUGACAGCAAUGUCCGACUGAGCCAGAACACAAUGGUGACAGAGCGCUCAACACACAUCCUGUGGGUUUUAAAAAUGCUAACCAUAAGAAACAUACACAAUAUAUGUAUAUACAUGAUACAAACAUGACUGAGAAAUUAUGUAAUUUGAAUUUAUCUAUGUUUUUAUGGACAGUUAAAAUCCUGACACUGCCUCAUUUGUUGGAUUGAUUGUCUAACAUCUGUGCUCCUUUGCUUCAGUCAGUAUCUUCAGUCAUGAAGGCUUCACUCACUUUACAGAUGAGUGGUGCUGGUUGUUGCAAUCAGUAAUGUUAUUUUAAUGUUAUUUUAUUCCUAAUAUCCCCAAAUACAAGGUGAUUCCACUCAUUUCAGAUGUAUUUGGAGGAGAAAAAAAACUCUAAUAUGACAUUUAUCAAACUAGAUCCCAGUAAAGAACAAAAAUAUGAAAGCAAAUCAAAGUGAGCGCUGAGGUCAUUCUGGUCUUUAUUUCCCUGACUUCUUUAGUGGCAUUAACGCUCCUCACUCUUGAGCAUCAGCAAACUGCUCUUUCAAAAAGCCCUCUGAGUCUGAGUGAAUUACAUUUUCUUUCCUUGUCUUUUUUGCUUGUUUUUUUUUUCUUUGCACUCCUUUUUUUUCUGAUGGGCCACUGAACCCUUUCCCUGGCUGUGUAUGCACCAGCAAACAUGCUGAUACAAUCUUAAAGGUCAUGUUCUUUUCACGUUGACAGAGGCCCUCCAAAACUCUGACGAGGGGGUCCCUCUAAAGGAUACCGCUGCUGCACUGCAGACGCAGCAGCUCCAGCUGAAGCCAAACUGAUUAAUGCGCUGCAUCAAAAGCCCUUUUUCCUAUUCAACCUGCAUUUCCGGGGCUAGUCAUGCUGAACCAGGGAGGCCCAUCAGCCCUGACGCUCCACGUUCCCCGUCUUAUUCAUUGAGAUGUAACAGGAUAAACUGAUUAUCACUGAUGAGCACCACUGUGGUUCACUUCUGGAGCUGCUGCAGCAUCCACUCAGGCAGAAUGAGCGAAAGCCUAUAAGCAGGUGUCCUUUUAAUAGAGGCUGUGUUGUGUUUGGUGAUGGAAACAGACUGUAAGCUGCAGCAGACACAUGCAGGAUGAGGUAACUGCUGAGUGAGUUUGAUCCAGAAAGUUGUUGAAGUGUUGAGCAGAGUCUUGGUGUUUCCAUCAGGAGGAACUGCUGCUCAAGUAGCUCAUGCAGGCAUUAUGAGUGCAUGUGUGCGUCUCCCUGUGUUUGUGUGUGUAUGUUUGUGUCAAUGUUAGACUCCUCCGCCUCGACAGCUCCUCUCUCCCCUGCCUUGUUUUUAAAAGGCAACUAUAAUGGCCGGUAAGGACAGCCUUAAGAGCUGCUGGCAGCUUGAAGCUUGACGCAACCAAAGGUCAUUGAUUCCCCCCUCCUCAAGGCGUGCUCUCUUUUUUUAAACAAUUCAUCCAGAUUUUGGCAUUUUGUGAACACACACAGGACAGCUCACCGACAAGCCGACCUUGACAGCGAAUUGGAUAAAUAAACCUUCAAUUUAGCUGCUCUCCUCCUCUCCUUCCCCCGUGCAGCUCGUCGGCUCAGGCAGCGAGUCCCACCGGGAGCCUUCACCUAUCCAUAUCGUUCAGCCCACGCUCAGCUCCACUCGGCGCUCCCUCCCUCCCUCGCUCUCUCCCGGCCUGUCUAGCGGAGCUGCCCUCAGCGCUGUGACAAACACGGCCUUAAAGAUAAGCUAAUAGCCCCCUUGCGCUCCAGUCAAAGUCAAUCCUCGUGCCACGUCGGAAAUUUAAUGCCAAUUCCAUCUCUCAACCCCGUCCAUCCCAUUUCCACAGCCGACACCGCACCCUCCGCCUCCGUCUCUGCCUGCCUUCAUCAAACCCUCCUCGCCAGACGCAAACACAGGGCAAUGCCGACAUGCACUGACACGCAUGCAAACACACACUUCCCCAUACCUAUCAGAUGGGCCUCGCCAUCCCGGGAGAGGAGCAGGGAGUGAGAGCACUACUCCAUAACGGGUAAUGACAUGGCAUUUAAUGAUACUGUCCAAAAUGAUCCAGGCCUCCUUCGACAGCUGCGUCUGCUCUGCAUGGAGGCCGCGCAGCCGUGGCGAGCCAGAUAAGCAUGGCCGGGCCAGGCCGGCACUGCGUUAGUGUGUGUGUCUGUGUGUGUGUGUUGUGACCGUCGUUUCCGAACACAGCAGAGGCAAUACUGUAUCUUUCACUCGUCCUGUCGCCUGAUAGGAUGUGACAUAUGCCUCCGCCGCACACUGCCGUCAUUCCUCCCGUCGCCUCUUCUCUACACCCGCUAUCUCCUCCUUUCUCCUUUCAUUUGUCCUCCUCUCCUCUCUCCUUCCUGCAUUUCCUCUUACCUACACAUUAUUUAAAAGGAGGUUUUCCUCAAAAUGAUAUCCAGGAGUGGUUUUAUGAUGCACAUCGUAAAAAGACUGCAUUGCUAACACAUGUGAGAUACCUUGAAGUGCUCAUGACAGGGAAAAGAUAAAAAAAAAAUCAAGACCAAGGAAAGCAGAGUGGAGAAAGGUCAGAGCGUAAAUGAGAAAUAAACACUUUCAGACAUCAAGAACUAUUACCAUUUCUCUAUUUUUGAUCAGGGUGUUUCAGAAGCAUCUCUUUGUGUAAAACUCCAAUUAACAGGAGUCACCUUUGAGCAAAACUGGAGGCCCAGCAGAAAAUGAUCCUGCAGGGAUCAGAUUCACAGGUUAACAUAUAUUCAGACCUAUGAAGAAGUUAACGCUAUAGACUGUUUAUAGUAUAGACAACUUGGCUCUGCCUCCCGCCAAUUUUCUCCAUUUCCUGAAACUGUUUGUAGCGUUCACUGUUAUGACGCUCGGCUCAAACAGCGUAUACCCCAGGGGAGCUAAGCAGUCUUCACACGCCCAUAGGCUGUAUCAAGUGUCAAUCAUAGAAAACAUGAACCCAUAAUAACUUUUAAAAAUGGAGCUGCACAGAAUAAAAGAGGACUUGAACACAAACCAGUCUUACAGUAACUACAUGUCAACAUCGAAACCAGGGGAGAGAAAAUAUAUUGCUGGAGGAGGCGGGCUUUAUGACCUAUACUGCAACCAGUCACUAGGGGGAGGCUUCACACAGCGAGGAGGCAGAUGACGUCUAUUCUAUAUACAGUCUAUGGUUAACACCAAAGGACAAUAUCAAACAGUCGAAACAGCAAUCUGCUGUUAGAAAGAAAUGUUGAUAAAAGUCGGAGGAAUCAGUAAAAAUAUCAUCAAGGUCACUGCAGAACACGGGUUUUCUCUCCUAAGGGCCAAAAUGUUAAAAUCUUGAAACACUUUAUGACUUACAGGCUUAGUGUUUGGAAAAGAGAGCAAUGUGCAUUAUCUAAUGGUCAGACUCUGGAUUGAAACACUCCUUUGCUCAACCCCGACUGAAAUAUUGACUCUGUUAGAACUUUUUUGCACAACAACAACAACAACAACAACCAUUUUUCCCCUUCUCUAUCUGCCAAGUAAUGCAAAAACUACAAAAAUUCAUAUAUCACAGGUUUGUCCAUUCUGUGCUAUCCUGAUUAACCUCACUGGUCAACAAAGCUGUCAAUCAAUCACCUGCUGAAAAAAAAAAAAAAACAAACUAAUUCAGACAGACAUAAAUCAGCACUUUAAGAAUGCAAUUUGUGGACAGAAACCAGGUUUAAGAUACAAAAGAAAAAGAUGUGUAUUCUAAUCUUAUGAUUGGCUCCUAUUCCAUCUCACAAAGGAGGGGGUGGGCUUUCUGACCCAUAUUACAGCCAGUUACCAGGGAGAGCCCUAAGAGUUAAAGCUUGACCUCAGACAGCUGUUCCGUUAUUUUAAGCAUUACAUUGAGUAUAAGGUUGGUGCUACAGGAAUGAUACCGAAGGAGAGGCUUCUGAGGUUGAGCUUUCAGGAAAAAAGUCCAAGGGGGAAAAAAGGGAAGAGCUCAGACAUCACUUUACUAAAGGCACAUGAAACCCUCAUUCUCAUAUUUAUGGAGCAGCAACAAACCUGAUUUUUGAUUUGCAAACCUGCAAACAUUCACAGGUUGCUUUGCGGUGUGUGUGCAGACUUAACACACGUGUGUCACCCACCUGACUGACUGUGACAGCCAUAAUGACACCUCAGGGUUUUGAAAGUACAACACAACCUGUACCUAAAGUCAGUCCGGCUGUGAUAAUGAGCGGCUUGCUCAGAGCGCACUGACAGAUGGAGGAGAAAUCCACGUAGGCAACUCAAUCAGGUAAUUAGAUUGAACCUACAAUACCAGGUAAGAAGUGUUAAGGCAGAGCUAACAGCGACCUUUCUACACAGCAGCUGCAUUCAUCCUUUAGCUGGUUAAGUGCAGCUUUCUGAAGUCAGAGGGAAAGCAUUUACUGAGGUGUGUGUGUGUGUGUGUGUGUGUGUGUGUGUGUGUGUGUGUGUGUGUGUGUGUGUGUGUGUGUGUGUGUGUGUACAAUGCAAACAUGGUUGUGUGUGUUUUUCUGUCUCAAAGAAUUGGCAUUAUUCCACAUGACAUUGAUCAGAAGGUCCUAUGUAAAUACAAGCAUUAACAAGAUCUGCGUUGGCUUGCCCCUGUGUGUAUGUGCAUGUGUGUGUGUAUGAGUAUGUGUGAGUGUGUGAGUGUGUGAGUGUGAGAGAGAGAGAGAGCUGCGUUCAUGGCUGCAUGUCAGCUGUGUGUUUCUCCAGAGUAUAUGAAGCCCUGAGGGCAGCCCAGGGGCUCGCCUCCAGCAUCUGUUCUUACACCGACAAGAGCAAGACACACCAAGACUGUACCCUGCAGCCAAGCUAUCGAACACACACCCGCACACACACACUCACACACACACUGACACAGUGGGAGCACACUAACCUUUUCAAAAAUCAUGCGUGACGUUACAAACAAUUACAAGGAGACAACCUGGCAUGGACUGCCAAGAUACUGCAACACUCUCCUCUGUCUUACAAGGCCGCUGCUUUUUUGUGACUGCAGGGCAAAUUUAUGAGGAAAAUUAUGCAAUGUGAAUCUGUUGGCUCUGAGGGUUCUUCUUCUUCUUCUUCAGUUUUUUUGGUCUUGAAUGCAAAGAAUGAAAACAAUUCUGACUGUUCUUCUUAAGUUUUCUCAUGGACAAACUGGAAAAGUACCUGACAGCUUCCCAUGAAGCUAGUUUUGUUGCUGUCAGAUUCAGAACAGCUGAACGCCGCUGACAUUUAGUCAAAUCAAACUUUUUUUUAGAGACAUUUCUGGACCAUUUGGACAAAGAUUUAUUCCUCAAACAUCUGACUGGGGAUACUACUCGCACAGACUUGUAGUGCUUCAGUUUUGCAGAUUUGAAUAAUGGUUUAAAGGUAAAGAGGCUGGGAUAUCUGUUUGUCUCAGUCUCUGUUUGUCUGAAUCCCACAUUUCUCUUCAUUUAACCAAUCAUCCCAUUUUGCAGGACCACCUCCCCGCCGUUUGUCAUCUACCGGAAAAUCUGACCCUGUGACGUAACUGAUCUACAAAUGGUCCACUUUUAACUUGAUCCAUCAAAAAUCUCCAUAAUUCUCAGUAUUUUUCAAUUCAAGUCUUAACACUCAUUGUUAAGGGUGUUCUUCUAUCGAACUGGAGUAAAAUCUGAGACUGGAAGUUAAUAUUUUGUUGAUGAAAUAAUCUAGGGCCUAUAGACUCCAGUCUCAACCAGCUCCCACCAGGCUGGGCCCAUCAGCUCAUCAGCUAUGUCCACUUUUGGACUGAAGUGAGGGAUGCUUUUCUUCUGCUGAUCACUUUCAUGUAUCAUGGGUCCAAAGAAAUCCGACCAGGAAGAAGAAACACCCUCACUGGGUUUGUUUUAUGAGCUGCUAAAUCAGCAGAAAUCAUAUUUCAAAGACCUGAUGGAGCAAAUAGAGAGAAACUUUGGAGACCUCUUUCCAGAUAUUCAUAGACUCAACUAAUCAAAGGAUGGACAACAUCAUGAGGAAUAUUCAGGAUAUUAAAGACAGUCUGCAGUUCUCACAAAAAGAUCUAGAUGACUUUCUGACCAUGUCUCCAGUCUUGAGAACAUCUUUAAUGAGUUUGAGAGAGUCUGUCAAGGAAACAACAGUACCUGGAGAGUCAAUCUAAGAAAAACAUCAUCAUUGAUUGAGUUCCUAAAGACCAGAGUAAAUCAGGGCAAAUAACUAAAGGUGAAAUCAAACAACUGCAGGUUGAAAAGCAGGAAUCUGAACCCAAAUCAAUCAAGUUUGAAUAUUUACAGUGCUAUAAAAAGUAUUUCUCUCCUCACAGAUUUCUUCUGUUUCUGCUUUUUGUCACACAUUUUGGAUCAUCAUACAAAGUUGAUUAUCAAACAAAGAUAACCUGAACAAAUUCAAAAUACAGUUUUUAAGUGAUGAGUUUAUUGAUUGAGGGGAAAACUGAUUCAAACCAACCAGGCCCACUGUGAAAAUCAGCUCCCUCUGAGACCUGAUCACUGGCUGUGUCACUCUUGGCAGACAGAGGAUCAUACACAAACUGCAGAUUUUUUUAUACCAUGUAGUCAAAUAAACUCCAUCCUUUUCAUUCAUAAGGCAACUAAACAGGGGUGCAACCUUAGUGGUCAACAUUUUAACAAAUUUCUUUGAUUGGGAUGCAAUUAGCAAAACACUGAAAUGACUGAUCAUUUGCUUGUUUUUAGUGUAGCCAAUGUAAAUUCAAGGAAUAAAAAAGUCAGGCAUUGUUAAUUAAAACAGAUUUUACAAUAGAAAAAAUAUUAAUAAGUGUAAAUCUGAGCAAAAGCAGCAGAUUUUUACCCUAGGUCUAAAAAAGGAAAAUAACCAUUACAAAUCGAACCCUCUGAAACUGAAAGAAUAUAAAUCAUAAAUAAAUAAAUAUGUUCAUAUAUUAUGUGAAGCUAAGAAAAUUUACUUUUCAAAUAAGUUUAAAGAAUCAACAAACAUGAUACAUUGAAUAUUAUAACCCUUAGCUGGCCCUGCUUUUAAGCUUUUAAAUUGUGAUUAACUGAUACAUGAUACAUAUACAAAUUUCCUGUGGCUUUCAUGACUUUUUAGCAACAAACAAUGUCGACACAACUGUGGGCAGUUAUUGAGAUUACUUUAGAAAGCAUCAUAGCUGCAUCAAUUACCAAACAGGUCAAUAAUCUUCAUCUCAACCUUGUUUUGCAUGUUCACUAGGCUGUUAGACUUUUAAUUUGCAUCACUGUUUCUCUAACAACAAAAAGAAAAUGCUUCUGAAUAUUGUUUAUUGAUUGAAAGUGCGCCAAAAAACGUCUCAACUUUUUGUUCUUUUAUUUUCUUAGCUGCAGGCAAACAGCAUAACUCUUGGUCCAAAUAAAUCCUCAAGGUCUACUUGUUUCCUCUCCCCCUCCCCCUCCCCUCACUCCUGUUCCUGAUCUGAUAAUUAUUACAGAUGGAUAAAUAAUUGUAGCAGGAUUUUGUAACCAUGCAAGGCGGCCUCAGCAUCACAAAUCAACCCCCUGUUCUCUCUCCCUCUCCUUUCCUCAUCCUCUCUCUCUUUCUCCUUGUUGUUGCCAUCACUCAGGAUGUCGAGCAGGUAUAUUUCAGUCUGAGUUACUGUGUGGCUGACACAAAUGAGUUGGGCCUGAGAACCGGCAAUAAGCUAAUUACUGCUCUGGCUGCUGCUUUAAAAGCUUGGACAGCACUGUUGUGUUCCUGCUCCUGUUUCACCGGUACAGCAGCAGCAGCCUUCUUUGCUGUAACUCAGCAGAGAGAGUGAUUACAGUUUCUAAUUCCACUAUGUUCCUCACUUGUUUGUGUACAUGAAACCAUGGCAAUGGGAUCUGAGAAUCAUAAGUCUGAGUUAGCUGAUACAUUGUGCAUCAGCUGCAGGUACUGCAAAGAAUAAAAGAAAUGUCAAUGAAGAUGAAACCACCUAAAAGAAAAAAAAUAUUUAUACUUUAUAAAAUACUUUUUUACACUAAUUGUCAGACCUGUACAUAUAUUCUAAAUUAAAACAGUCCAAUGCUCACGUCUCUCUUGAUGAUGCAACUGUGGCCUGAGAUGUAUGAUUUGUCAAGUUUUUGCUGUCACAAAUGACUGUAGAUACACAUUAUUUUACAUACAACAACCACUCUCUCCCACAUCCUCUAACAUUAACAUAAGCACAAAUACUUUCCAACUACAAAAACACAUUUGGACUAGUUUGUCCUUUCUGUGCUGCUGUAGAAAAAUGGCAGUCCAAGAUGGCCGCCUUUUUGGAAGAGGACUGUCGCUACCCAAACCGUCCUGAAAACCUGAUUUGUACUGCGCAUGUGUGAAAUGUACAUCACUUCUUCUCCUCAUAUUUCAAUGCAUUUUACGACAAUUAGUUGUGACUAUUGCUACCUACCCAAGCCAUACUGUGCGAGUGUAAAUUUGAAUAUGAAACACAUGACCAGCAUAUUUAUUUAACCCCCCUUUUCAACAAACAAAAGUAUUCAUUUCAUUUCAUUUAUUUAAUAAAUUAAAUUAAUUAACAAAAAGCCUAAACAUUAUGGACAAUAAAUUUCAGUGUUUUUAUACAUUUCAAUUUUAACAAUGAAAUAUUCAUUUUCAUUCCAGCGUUUUAUAACUAUGUUGCAAUUUUACGAUUAAGCCAGUGGUAGGAACCUUUAAGUGUGAAACACAUUCUCUUGACUUUUCUGCUUCAGUCGGGGGAUGCACUCUGUUUAGGAGAAAAGCUGGUGAUGGUAAAAACUGAAGCAUCCAUUUUGACUGAAGUGAGCUCGCUGAAGCUGUCGAACAAGUGUUAAAGGUGUCGCAGACUGAUAGGGGCAAAGAAUUGCUGAGCUGUCGCAAAGUUGGCUUGUAGAGUGACGUACAUUACGCACAUGUGCAGUACAAAUUGUGUUGAUGAAUCGGGAAGCAACAGGACCUGCACUUCUAACGAUAUAAAGAGAAAAAAUCAUUAUGCACCUGCUGUCUCAGUUGGAUAACCUGCUCAUGAAGGAUGAAGGUGAUAAACCUUCAAAUCCCCAACACUAUAAGAAGAGUUAUCUCCAAAUAAAUCAGCUCCUUUUGAAUCAUUUCUUUAAGACCCAUUUGCACAAAUAGAAGACAAUAAUACAAUACAAUACAAGAACUUCACUGAUCCCCAUAGGGACAUUCGUUUGUCUGGAAUCUCUGAAGAUGACUCUGGAUGCUCAUCAGAUAAAAACUGUGGGGUUAAAUCUUCCCACAUAGGCCUAAAAUGCCUUCUCUGGUGAUAUACAUAUCUAAUGAUGUUAAUAAUGUAAUCCAGAAACUAUGCUGUCCUUCCUUCCUUCCUUUCUUCCUCUCUCCUUACUUCCUCAGUUCCUCUCUGUCAGCGCUUACUAGUUCAGCUGGGGUUGGUUUCUUUGCCCAUUUUCUUAAUUGGCGUUAAAGAUGCCCAGGGCCUCACAUACCAACCACACUAAACACAACACACACAUACACACAGUGACUCUGUGCUGCAGGAUAGCGGCUGAUGUGUCUGAAACUUUGCCUUGGGUGUAGAGAGAGAGAAAAAAGAGCUUUUGAAGCAGUGCUUAGCAGUAGGAAAACUGCAAUGAUAGCGAAUAUUCUGCUCUUAAUUACUGCCUGUUUACUCUGCCUCCCCCCUGGCCCUCACCCCCCCUCACCAUGCAGUUUUUUUUUUUUUUUUUUUUUAUGUCUAACCCCUAACCUCCCUCUCUUCCUUCCACACAAACCUCUGCCAUAAAACCUGUAACUCUUUGGAGGAAAGGGGGCAUGGCCAAGGACGCAGGUAUCAUAAUAAAGGUACUGCCUGUCUUUGAUGUAAGUCCAUCAAUUAAAUGUUACAUUUAAUAUCCAAUCCUCAGAUAUCAGCUGGCUUCUUAACCUCCAUAUUUUGUUGGGUCUCUCUCUCUCUCUCUCUCUCUCUCUCUCUCUCUCUCUCUCUCUCUCUCUCUCUCUCUCUCUCUCUCAGACAAAUCAAUCUGGACUCCCUAUUGCAGGUCUCAAGAGAGAGGCUCAUCUCUGAAGCCACAGCAGAGUUCACAGGUCUUCUAUUGACUAAGUCCACAUGGACAUAGAAGUGCAAGUCUCAACCUCUCACUAUCCCCGUCUCUCUCACACACACAAACUCACACUCGGUCCACUGGAGUUUUGAGAGGAGUUUUAUCGCUCUGUUCAGGAAACAAUAGACAUAUUUUUUAUUUAUUUAUUUUUUUUCUGAUCUCAUUAUGUCUAUGUUUCCUUCAGGUGGUCAGCACAUGACUUAUCUCCUUAAUUCUGACAAAACUGAAGUUAUUGUUCUCAGCCCCUUUCCACGGCUUUUAAGCACUCUGUUGACGCACAAAUGGAUUAAAUGAUUUUCGUGACUAGAGUGAAUGAUGCGAGGGAUUGAAGCAAGUCUAGAUAUGCGCAAAUUAAACAAGUAAACAAUUUUAUUUGCUCUUGGUGUGAAUGCACGGUAAGAAUUACCUACCUGUCCAGGUAGAGUCAGCUUAAAGCCUUCCUCUUUUAUUAAACUUAUAGUUAGACCUGGUUUGAGAUCUCAUUUUCUACAGUAGACACAGAGGAUCAAAGUCCAAGUUGAACAUUUGGUACAUUUGAUAAUUGGUGAGACACCCUUUCAUAAGAGUCUGCAGGAAUACAGCUAAUGUGCAUCAGGGAUGUCGGUUUUUCAGAAAAUCAACAUCAAGCAAAUAUUGAGUAGGGACAAGAACGAAUAUUUGAGUAAUCGAGAAACUCGUUACCGUCAUUAAUUGAGUAUCACUACACUACUCUUACAGGCCUUGUUCAUGUGCAAGUGCCUCAACUGAGUUUACAGGGACAUGCACCAUGUCAGCAGUGAGCAAACAUUAUGAGUGGAGGUAUUUUGAUGAUAAAGACGACAUUAUCGUGCUGUGCAAGAUAUAAUUCUAUGAUAUGCAAGUUUAAAACUGUAUGAAUUCAGUGUCUCAGUUAGAAGAUAAGUUAGCAGAGACAUAUGAUAAGCAGUCUCACAGCACAACAUCUACCCUGUUAGCAGAUGCUGGUGCGAUGACCCUGCUUGUAAUAAAUAUGGUGACUGGAGACAUGCUCCCAUCAAGUUUAGGAGAAGGGGAAAGCCUCUCUCAGCUGAUGGCGUUUGUUGAGCCGCAGUACAAGCAACUCUCAUGGCGGACAAAAACUACAAGAGUUGAAAUAUGUUUGAGGAGAGUAGAGCAGGAUUGAGGGCUGCUUUGCUAAGUGUUGACAAAGUGUCCAUCCCCACUUUACCAUCAUGUUUCAUUCACAACUGGGAGUUAGAGACCUCUGUCCUUUAGACACACAGUACUGAAAAACGGUAUACCAUAGAAAACUUGGCUGACCAGUAAAAAAUACAUAAAUUGCCAGUGCUUCAUUACUUGAAAUGCACAUCCAUAGUAUCGAGCAUGACAUGCAAAGUCCAGAUGCGUUCAACUUUUGCAGUCUUAUCAAUGAUGAUGACUUGUGCUUUUCCUUCUUCCAAGCCUACAGUAAGAAGCCUGCCAUAAAACCCUUAAACACUUGCUGAUGUGCCACUCAUCCAUGGUGCCUCUUUUGCCGUUUCAUGCAGGUGGCAAACCCUCAGGUGAGCCUGCAAACUUGCUGUUGAUGCAGGGUAAGCCGGCCCUUCUGAGUAAAGUCUACAUACAGUCCGGUCUCUCUGUGUAUAUACUGUAUAUCCCCAAAUUCUUCCACACAGGGCUUGAUAGAUGUUUCAGUGUUGUGAUUUUCCGCUCAGUGCAACCUUGUUUAACCACAUCCUCCAUUAUUAGAGAAUAAUGUUACUGUAUUGGUUUACAGAGGUCAAGGGUGCAUGGAUUGCAUUACAGUUUGAACUUUUCCACCAGAGUUCAAAACACAGUUUGAAUUUUUGGUAAAAAGUGACAGCCCAAAUAUCUAUUACUAACGCAUGAGUAAAUAUCAGAAAGGAACUGCAAAGAAAGAUCCAAAUAUUACUGAAGGGAAAUAACAAAACUGCAUCAGCAACCAAAACAAGUUCAAGUGGAUUUCUGCUUUUAUUCAUUACGUGGCUCACUUAACAUGACGUUUUAACAUCUGAACCUCUGUUGUUGAGCUGGAGACAUUUGAUGACUGUCAUGUGCAGCACGUGUUGACAGAGUAUUGUUUCAUCCGUCAAACUCACAUGUGCAUGCAGUUUCAUGCUGGGACAUGGUGAAAUCAGACCAAAGGAGUGUCCUGAAAGUGUGAUUGUUGUAGAUUAAUGUGAAAAACAUUUCACUGAGUGUGACUUUGACAGCCGUCAUCAGCAGGAGCAGUUUUUGUCAAUCUCUUGGGACAGGAUGAAUGUAAAUAAUCCACCUGAUCACUUCUACUGUACAUUCAUGGACCUGUCCUGUUUCAUAAAGAUUUUGAAUGAUCUAUUCCUUGUUUCUGAGGGACUCACACAUGUGGUCAUUUAGCGUGGCUCUGUCUUCGCUUACACUCAGUUCCUCUUGCGUUUUGGAUGGCGGGUGUCUGGGUGGGGGAGGGGUUAGAAAUAUUUCCCUGUCCCCUGGUGUGCUGGAUGCUGUAUUAAAGCCAUAUUUCGAAUCACACUUGGCAGAUAUAUGGGGUGUCUUAAACAAUAUGAACUAUGUGUUAAGAAAUAAAUUGCUUACACCACUAGAAUUCUUACAGGAACACUUCAAUCCAGACCCCCAAGACCAUCCAGAUCAUUAUUUCUUGCACAUUUUCCCCAGUGCAAGCAGACAUAGGUACUGAUUGUAAUAAAACACACUGUGUCGAGGUGGGGGUGGGUUUGUGGCAAAGGAGGGGUUUCCACCAUGACAGUGACAGCGCUGUAUGCUAGACAUAUUCUUCAUUUCCUCUGCGGGAUUUUGGCGUUCUUUUUUUCAGCUUUCAUUUUUCAACUCAACAAUGUUUAAUCUUGAAAACUGUAAAACUGGAGAGUCGUAGAUAAAUUUUCUUGCUCUGUGUCUCUGCGUGUGUGUGUGUGUGUGUGUGUGUGUGUGUGUGUGUGUGUGUGUGUGUGCGUGUGAGAAAAAACAGUAAGUGAGUGAGUUCAGUCCUAAGUUCCUCAUAUGGGAGGCAGAGGCCUGUUUAGGUGUGUGUGUGUGUGUGUGUGUGUGUGUGUGUGUGUGUGUGUGUGUGUGUGUGGGUGGGUGUGGGUGUGUUUCUUGCUGCAGGAGAGCUGCAUGCUUUCCCAGCGUUAACAUGCCUGACGCAUAAAUCCACUCAACGAGCUAUGGAUAGUAGCAGAACCUGGAAGAAACACACCCACUCCACACAGCUGUAUUUAACACACCCUCUCUCUCUCUCUCUCUCUCUCUCUCUCUCUCUCUCUCAUACUUGUAAAGGCUUUUCUCUGGUUUUGAGGCGUAAAAACAAACAGCUGCAGAAUUCAUUUAAACAGAAAUAUCACUAGAUUGUUUUUCACAUUUCCAUGUGAUUGAAACUGAAAUAUGACUCAUCACCGUUUUUCUGCUCCACUUCUGAUGCUGUUUUGUUUAAGGUCAGCUGAAAACUCAGGUAAAAAACUUACAAGUGCAGAAUCUGCAUAUUUCUAUUUGACAGCCUGAUCAUGUAACCUUUGCAAAGACACAGAGAAUCUGGGCGACCCAUCACAGAGUGGAUAAUCUGGAUGAUAAAGUAACCCCCUUUGAACAAUCUCUACAGCAAAUAUUUACAUUGUGUGCUAUGUGUUGUUAUAAAGACAGGAAUGAAAACAUAAAUGUGUGAAAAACAAGUUCAACAAAGGGUAGGGAAGAGGCACAGCUUUGCUAAAAGGGGUGGCAAAGACUCACAAAAACUGCCCUCCAAACACCCGACGCCAUUUAGACGUCUUUUUUAGGCUAAAUCACGUAAGCCCGUCACGGCCGUAAAUUAGCCGAAAAAAUUUGUCGAAAACUGGGCUUCAUUUAGACGGUCUGAAUGUAGAGGCGCCCAAACGACAUCUUUUCAAACUCUCUUUACUGGGUGGGUGGGGCUGUUGCAGUAACCGUUUUUUAAAAAACUAAUAUUGUGCUAAAACCAAGCCUAUGGUAGUGUGGGUUAAAUAAGUAGUUUACAGUAGGGGGCGGUAGUGGUUAUGAAACUGGAAGACUGGACAGCAGCUGGAGCCUCGAGUGAGCUGGCCUCAGACACAAAACUGAAAAAUGGACUGUAUAUCAAAAGACAGCCUUAGAGUUUCUUUCUCCUCAAGGUAAAGAUAACAUUUACUUUCUGAUUGUUUUUUUAGCUAUACAAAAAGGUUAAUUUGGCCUGUUGAUGAUCAAUUUAUGAAAUGGUUUGUCUAUAAAGGCCACGUGACAAGGUAUCCGAAACUUGUCAGAUACAAACAUUUGAUCUUUUUGCUGUUCUCGUUCAGUCCUGUAUACAUAUAAAUUACUUACAAAUAUACUCUUGUAGAGACUCUCUACAACGCUAAUGCACAAUGUUGGUUCCAGGAAGUGGAGAAAAGUGGAGAAAAUUCCAGAAAUACUGAGAGCGAUUCGGCUUCAAAUUUGUAUAAUGGCGGAAGGCAGGGCUAAGUUGUCCAUAGUAUACGGUCUAUGGUCAUGAUGCAAUGGUGCUAGCCAUUGCAUCACUGAGGACAAAACACUGGUCCAGACAAAAACUGUACAAGUACCAUCUGCAGUCAGGCCACACUUGCUUUUUUAAAUCAAACUUAUGUUUUUAGUUUCUGUGUUGUUUUCAGUCAGUAUGUUCACAUGCAAGUUAAGUUGAUCUACAGUUAAAGCUCAAUAUGGUGAUAAAACUGGACUGUUUGUCCCAGUUUAUAAGCACUAGGUAAGAACUGGGUUGUUGACAGAAGCAUGUCUACGGCAAGUGUGUAGGUGAAAUACGGAAAUCAUAGAGUAAAGAGAAGGAGAAAGAAAGGAGGGGAAUCUAACCCUGAGCCCAAGAUAAGUCAAACGUACUUUGUGAAUUUUCUUCAAAUGAAUUUCUCCCUUUGGGCUUUUUCUGCAGACCUGGUUGGUUGUUUCUCUUUCAUAACCUGACCAUCAAUUUAGCAAAGCAGCUGCCUUACACUGUCCAGGUUUAUAAUUGUUAAAGAGAAGCCUAUGACACGUAUUUAAGUCAACAGUAGAUAGAGCCUAAAAUAAUUAAAAAUUGAUGCGUGGAUUGAGUGUAAUUUCACAUACAUAUUUUACAUAAAUCUCAAAACCCCCUAAAAAAAAACAUAAACCCCCUUGAUUUUUCUCCUACGUCUCCAAACAUGACGAACAUUAUCCUAAAUUUUAAGUGAUCAUUUCAUUCUGUAUGCCAGGAUUCCACUUUGUGCAGAGAUGAUGAGGCUCAUAAAAGAUGAUAAAGGGACAGUAGGAGGAGGUAGUUUUUUUUUUUUUUUUCCUUUUCUUCACUGCCAAAGUUAAAGGAGCUUUAAUCACCAGCUGUAUUCAUCUAUUCUGUUAAAAAACACACACACAGCCCUGCUCCACUCGUUAGAUCUCAAUCCCCCAGAGAUAUAUAACACUCGCCUGUCUAAUAUCUAUGACUCCAGCCGCCCACUCUCGCUCCCCAAACAGCAGUGACUGAUGUCGAACACCAUCCAACACCCCCAGCACAUGUCCCAAAGAUUUUUCCACCCUGACACUGAGCCCACAUCCCCGAGCAGCGCUAUUAUGCUCGCUGUCAAACACCAACAAGGCUUCUUGUUUUCGGCUGUUUGUUUCGAUCUGUUCUGUCAAAGCCAGAGUGAUGCUUUGUAGUGUCUAACCAGGGUUUGUCAUUGUUCAGGAGAUGGAGGAGAAAGAAGUGGCCGGAGGGUACAGGUGGUCUGGACAAACCAUGAAGAAAAAUGCUGGAAAUUCAUCAUAAAGAACCCUUCUUUUUUUUUAAGUCUCGUCCUGUUUUAGAUAUUCUUAAAUUAGAAAAAUGUUCAUCAUUGUAAGCGUCAAGGAUAAAAUUUACAAUGUUUUUAGAACACUGAGGAGACUUCACUGAAAAAUGAUAAAACAGGCUGUGAUAACUACAAACUAGUUUUUCUCAUGCCUUAAUAUUGUGGGAGUCCACACUAGAGUAAAGGAGCUACUUUGAAUACCUUAGAGGAGGGACAUAAACUUUUCCAGACUUUGUAGUGACUAAAAGUCAGGAUAUGUGGAUACCCUUUUCUUCCUUUGUUUUUUUUAUUUUUUUUUAAUCUGCCCUGAGUGCCUUAGUUUCAGUUAAGUGUUUGUAGUAAAUGUCAUAAUCUCUGCGAAAGACUUGGACCAAUAGAGCUGGUCAUGUAAAGGACAGAGAGAUAGUUUUACAAGAGGUCAUGGGUGGAUACCAAAGGUAUAAAACAGACCACUAUAGAGGUGUAUGCAUGGGCUAAAUUGGGCAAUUUUCAAUACAAUAUUCAAUGGGGCAAUAUAAUUGUAAAAUAUCCUUAAAAAAAAAAAAAAGUCCUACAUAACCUUCAUAAAAUCGUCAUCAACUAAGUGCUUUGUGUGUCUCUGUAGUUUACAUUGGUUGAUCAUUAGGCUGGCAGGGGUUUGAUGUCAACACGUUGAAAAGCGCGGGUCUUGAAUGGUGUAAACAUGGAUGAAAUCAUCAUUUCCACCAUCAUACUAUUUUUAUUUUCUACCUCCAACAGCGACAACUUGAAGAACUGUACAUGAGGCUGGUCCGAGGAAGUCUCAAGAAUUGGAUUAUAAGACGACAACUUUAUCGACAUUGUCGGGAAAGGAAAAGAAAGUAUACAAUCCUGCGAGUCAUUGCAACAGCAACUCGGGAGAAAAGUAUGUGAAGUAAAACUCUUGAAAAGAUACGCUGUCAGUGGUGAGGUAUAACUUUAUCUACAUUAUAAUAAAAUUUCCUGUAGUUUGACCAUCUCCAUUAAACAUAAUAAACCGCAUACUUCUACUCCUCCAUUUCCUGUCUUUGGUACAAAGGUCCGAACCUUUCAAAAUAAUGCUUUCACACUGGGCAUGAACCAGACCAUGGUUCAGUUUGGUCCGGACUGAGACCACCUCUUUUCAUUAGACCAAGGUCCUUGGGAGGUCCCACACCUAUCAUUUUGUUUCAGAUUAAACAUAAAAGUCAGAAAGUCCAGACCAAAGGACAUAGGUGUGAAAGCCCCGUAAGUUGACUGUUGAAUAAAUGUCAGUAUCUGCUGGAGAGAAAACCAAGAGAAUGAAGAGCAAAAGAUUGUUUAUGGUGAGCAGAUUACAAUCUUCAGAGAAUGAGCCAAACAUGGACAUGAUCCUGCUAACCCCAAAGGCCAUAUUACCCGGAGACCUGCAAAGUAAAAGAGAAGUAAAAUAAUUCAUUGAUUAAAAAAUGAUUUAUGUGCCUAUAAAGUAAACCCCUCAGUUCUGCUGUAGAACUUUUCCAUGGCCUCCUUGCAGCAGGAACAAACAUGUUUAAGUCAAGAGCAGAUAAAUUAAAGAAAAGGUUAAUUUUCAUGUAUUAAGUUAUAUACUAUGGUACGGCUCCCUGUCACUCCACAUGUAGAAGUGGGAUGCCAAAGCCUGAGGAAGGGAGGCACACCCACCCUCUCUCUAAUGUGCAUACAUACAUUACCACUGCAGGCAGAGCAUCAGUCAAGACAAAGAACAGAGCAUGCAUCAGUGACAUCCUAUAUGACUAUGCGCUCUGCCUGCACUAACACUAUGCUUGAUUUUAAUUUGUAGAGAUCAGCAGCUUUGAGAUGCGCUCACUAGCUCUGCAGCUGGUGCACAGAUUGCAGGACAGGACCGUGCUCUACUUCACCUUAUUGAGAACAAAUUCAUUUCAAGUAUUCAACACAGCCAGGUAGUUGGAAAAACUGGUUGACCAUUUUUAAUGAACUUGAAAGCUGACCAGAAGUUUUCGUAAAGACUGCUGUUGAAAAACAUUAAAAAUAUAGGAGCCAGUGGUGAAGCAGAGCCAUCAGCUCUCUGUAGAUCUGGUGUCUGUCUCAAACCUGAAAUUCUGGAGGUACGUGUAUUUCAUCUAACACUCACAGUAAUGUGAACUUGAAGGUGUGAGUAACAGGAGAGAGACUUUUUGGCCACAUUACAACUGGAACUCCUCAAAGAUCCCUUGCCUUUCUCACCCCACAUUUUCAUCACCUUCUCCUUCUCCAUCUCAAAGCUUCCUUUCCCUUCCCUCGAUACUUCUCUCCUGUGACAUUACAGGAAAACAAAAGGAAGACGAACACAGGAAAAAAGACAUGACAGAGGCCUCAGUGACAUACUCUCUCCAGACCUGCGGCUCUGUUUCUUUCAAACCUUGCCAAACUUUUGAAGAGGCGCCCUUUUUCUCAGCUUAUAAAUCGCCUCCUCUUUCACUCAAUCUAAAGGAAUACACACUCACACACAGCACUGAGCAUUGACUCACACACAGCAAGCACACACCUCUCCAGGCAGCAGACAUUUUGGCAGAUCCCCUCUGACAGACAGGCAGGGAGAUCAGAGCGAGGUGAGUGAUGGAGAGCGAGGCAGAGGGGGGGAAGGAUGGAGGGGUGAGGGAUAACAAUCAUAUGAAUGACAGAAUACAGGUGUUGGGGUUUGCUAGACAACCUCUCAGCUGCCUCCGCUCCCUCCAGCAGCCGAUGGUAUCAGACUUCUCUGCAGUUAUUGGCCGCCAGUCUCAAGAAGCCAGAAAGCGAGCUUCGGCGGGGAGUGGAGACAUGAUAAACUGAAGAGGAGGAGGGGAGGGGGAGAGGGAGAGGGGAGGCCAGGGGGAGAAAGAGGUGUUUGACAAAGAGUGAGAGAGUGAGUGAUCCCCUUCAGGAACAUCCCUCCUCCUGAUGCUAACAUUUGGCUGAACUUUCAGAGGGGAUCCUCCCUCAUGACUCCUUCGCUGUUAGGUCAGACAGAAAGAGAGGAGGAGGAGGAGAGAGGGAAGGAGGACUGGGACGAGAGAGAACAAUUCAGGAGGUGUCCAAGAAAGGUGAGAUUUAAAACAGGGAGGGAAGGAGUGAAGUUGGGAUGUAGCAUACGGAAAGAGCUGUUUGAUGUACAGAUUGGGUAACAGAUAUCCUUCAGUUUGGUCAAAGGUUUUGCAGGUUUACAUGUUUCUGUCACGCUGUCUGAAUUCACAGGUAAAAAUAAUGGACAGCUUGUUUCCUGGAUUAUCAUUUUGAAGCCUUAAGUUUGCCCUCUGAUCACAAUUAGUUGUGUCUAUGGAGCUGUACCACAGUCAAUGAAAUUCAGUGUAACAGAUGUUGACACUCUCACAGCAGUGUUUGUGUGGGUGUAGUGAUGCUCAGUCUGUCCAUCAAAGACUAUGGGCUCUAUUUUGGUGCCUCGCCGAAGACGUGCCGCAAGCGCAGCGUCAAUCAGAUCCGCCGCGCUGACAAGGCGUUCCCAAGCACAUUUUGGUAUUUUGGUGAGCCGCGCAGCCCGGCGUAAGUAUCCCCCCUCCCUAACUCAGCUCCUCCCGGCAGCAUAAGUCAUAGACGGGGAGGAGAGAGGGCGUGGAGUCGGUUUAACACAGCCGAGACCUGUUUUCACCAAUCACAUAAGCUCCUCUCCUUGCCUUUAAAUCCGCCACCGGCGAGGCGUAUUACUAUUUUCAUGAAGUAGUCAAAGAGAUCAAGAGAUGUCUGAAGACAGUUAUGCCACACGAUGGCGACAGAGGGCAGCUGCUCAACAAGUGUCCUCCACACUCUCUCAUCUGAGCACAGAUGGAUUUGGUGUGCGUAAUGUUGGACCCACUGGUAAGACAAACACCCUUUUCCACAAAUAAAGACACUCACAUAAAGUUGCAUAUAUUCAAACCUCACGUGACAAAGGUGGGUUUAGCGCACAGAUCACAACAUAAACUCCAAAAAUGGCAUUAAAAUCGGAACCAUCUGUGCGUAAAUGACGCAUCGCGCUCUGUGGCCUGGCUCUUUCUUUCAUAGAUGUUGGCAUAUAAAAUAAAUUUGGCCCACAAAACUGAAUAUUAUAAUAUCCGUAUGUCGGCUUAAAGUAGAUCACGCAUCUGAGCACUGAAACAAAUCAUCUGUUCAGCCGCAGCAGCUGCAGCAAGACGGACAGAGGACACGGAGACGUGUCCAGGUUGAGCUGUGCGAGAAAUAAGAGGAAGAAAGAAAAGGAGGGAGACACAUUACAUAUCUUGUUAACUUCAUCAUGUGUGUUUAUUUACUAGAUAUUUAAUUUAAUUUGAUGCAGUUUCAGCUGUAUUGAUUCGGUCAGGUUGUGUGCCCAAACGCGUGCCAAACGCGUGCCAAACGCGCUCAUCAGAUCAGAUAUAGAUCAGAAUAUAUCGAUAUAGAUCUAAAUGUAUGUGCUGACUCAGAUUAAUAGUUGAUGAUGAUUAUUUAUUGCACUGAAAUGUGCCUGACACUGUGGAAACCUGCCGGUGAGGCAUCGGUGACGUAUGUCGAUACGCCGCUGGUCUACCAAAAUACUACUAGACCAGCUGCGUUCCGCCUUGCGCUGAAAGCUGACCAGGUUUGAAUCGGCGAGCUUUCAGCGCAUGUUACACGCCGGUGGCGAGCACGAAAAUGUCACUGCGCCAGCUGAUUCUGUCAACACCUCCCCCUGCCACGCCACCACGCCCAGCUUGGCGGAUCUCGGCUCGCCUCCGUGCGACUCAGUCCACGAAAAUACCAAACUCGCCUUACACCGGGCUCCGCCAGACGAAAAUACAACUGCGCGGGGCUCGCCGCCCUCCGCCGCCUCACUGGCGCGAACGAGAAUAGAGCCCUAUAUCUUAAGUUAACUCGAUGUUGCAUGCAGGGUUUCCCAAGGAUCAAUUCUUGGACCACUUCUGUUUAGGCUGGACAUGCCUCCAUUUUUCACACAAAAUUUAUUUACAGGUUCACAUAGAUGAUUAACAACUGUACAUAUCAUGAUCGCCAUUUAAUUCAAAUCCUCUUCAGCCCCUCAUUCAGUGCCUCAGUGAUAUAAGGAAAUAUGCUACAUGAAUAAAAUUUGACUUGACCAGUAGCGAGGAGAAGAAGGGGACCAACAAGGUGCAGUUUGUGUUUGGAUCAGUCGGUACCACAGCUCUGUGUUUGAUGACUUUGUCUAUUAAUGGCAAAUUAGGAAACUUAGUUGUGCAGGUUUUUUUGUUGUUGUUGUAGUUGUUGUUUGUUUAGAUAGAUAGAUAGAUAGAUAGAUAGAUAGAUAGAUAGAUAGAUAGAUAGAUAGAUAGAUAGACAGACAGACAGACAGACAGACAGACAGACUUUAUUAAUCCCAAACUGGGAAAUUCUCAGUUUUUUGUUUGUUUGUUUGUUUUUCUUUGUUUGUUUGUUUUCUUUAUUGUUUUUUUUUCCUUUGGUGUAUUCUGUGUGAGCCUGAAAUGAUGGUUACCUUUUUCAGACCAGAAAAAAAAAAAAAAAUAAAUAAAUAUAUAUAUAUAUAUAUAUAUAUAUAUAUAUAUAUAUAUAUAUAUAUAUAUAUAUUGCCUUGAAAAAGUAUUCAAACCUCUUGAACUUUUCCACAUUUUGUCACCCUACAACCACAAACUUAAAAUUAUCUUAUUGAGAUUUUUUGUCAUAGACCAACACAAAGUAGCACAUAAUUGUGAAGUGGAAUGAAAAUGAAACAUGUUUUUUUUUUUUUUUUUUUUUUUUUAAUGUAAACAAAUAAAAAUCUGAGAAGUGUGGUGUGCAUUUGUAUUCAGCCCCCUGUACUCUGAUACCCCUAAAUCAAACGCAGUGCAAUCAAUUGCCUUCAGAAGUCAGCUAAUUAGUUAAUAGAGUCCACCUGUUUGUAAUUUAGUAUCAGCAUAAAUACAACUGUUGUGUGAAGGCCUCAGUGCUUUGUUAGAGAACACUAGUGAAUAAAGAGCAUCAUGAAGACCAAGGAACUCACCAGACAGGUCAGGGAAAAAGUUGUGGAGGAGUUUAAGCAGGGUUAGGUUAUGAAAAAAUAUCCAAAGCUUUGAACAUCUCAAGGAGCGCUGUUCAAUCCAUCAUCCAGAAAUGGAAGAAGUAUGCCACAACUGCUAACCUACCAAGACAUGGCCGUCCACCUAAACUGACAGACCGAGCAAGGAAGGCAAUGGUGAGAGUGCUAUGUGUGGCGGAAAAGUAACACUGCUCAUCACCCUGAACACACCAUCCCCACUGUGAAACAUGGUGGUGGCAGCCUCAUGCUGUGGGGAUGCUUUUCUUCAGCAGGGACAGGGAAGCUGGUCAGAGUUGAUGGGAGGAUGGAUGGAGCUAAAUACAGAGCAAUCCUGGAAGAAAACCUGUUGGAGGCUGCAAAAGACUUGAGGAAAGACUUGAGAGUGGGAAAGAGAUUCACCUUCCAGCAAGACAAUGACCCUAAACAUACAGCCAGAGCUACAAUGGAAUAGUUUAGAUCAAAGAAUAUUCAUGUGUUAGAACGGCCAAGUCAAAGUCCAGACCUAAAUCCCAUUGAGCAUCUGUGGCAAGACUUGAAAAUUGCUGUUCACAGACGCUCUUCAUCCAAUCUGGCUGAGCUUGAGCUAUUUUGCAAAGAAGAAUGGGCAAAAAUUUCAGUUUCUAGAUGUGCAAAGCUUGUAGAGAUAUACCCCAAAAGAUUUGCAGCUGUAAUUGCAGCAAAAGGUGGCUCUACAAAGUAUCGACACAGGGGGCUGAAUACAAAUGCACACCACACUUUUCAGAUUUUUAUUUGUUUACAUUUUUGAAAACCAUGUAUCAUUUUCGUUCCACUUCACAAUUAUGUGUUACUUUGUGUUGGUCUAUGACAAAAAAUCUCAAUAAAAUACUUGUAAAAAAGUUCAAGGGGUAUGAAUACUUUUUCAAAGCAUAUUAGGCUAUAUAUUUAGUUACAUUGACCAACACUAAAAUACAAGAGCAAGUGAGGUUGAUGUUGUGUUCACACCAAGGUUAUCAUAGUUUUGGAUUUGUUUCUUAUAGUUUUAUUUUGUUUGCCCUUUUUUUGUCUAUUCGGUUAGUUUUAAGUAGUUUUUAGAGCGGGUUUGUUUGUUUUUGUUAGUUUUUUUUUUUUUUUCUAGAUGAUUGCACUUGGCCAUGAGGUUAUUCACUGUGCAGCACCGGGUGAUUUGAGUUUUGGCUCAAGUGAAAAGCUAAACUUUUUGAAGGCGAUCAACUCACACAGUCUUGUAGACAUACUAGUCUCAAUAAACAUAUUUAUGAGUGCAUCUUCCCACUUGUGGUGUUCCUGUGUUAAAUACUAACCAGCAGCUCUUUGGUUGUAGGUGAAAACAGUCUAUUGUAGUUGUCUCCUCUGUCUCGGUGCUAUCUCCUGGCCGAGAUGUUGCUUAUUUUUCAGGGGAGCUACUCGGAGGCCACUCUGUCGAGGUGCUCAUGAUAUGUGUUCUUGUGUAAGCUUCUCAAAUGGACUUUCAGAUUUGUGAGUUUUUUCCCCUUGAGAAGCAUUCCACAUACUUUAUCACCAGUUUUUAAGGCACUUGCUUUUGUCUUUCUGUCAUAUUUAAAGAAAUUUCAUACAGGACUCUGUCGCUUCCUCCCGAGUUUUUUCGCCAUUUUGCCAGGUAGAAUGGUGAUGAGAAACCAUCUGUAAACAAGUGAUAAGCUGUGAUGUGCUGUUCGGUGCUGCUAGCUUAUGUAAAAUUGUUCAGCAAAAUAAAUCAAUUUCAUAUCAAUCCUAAAUUGACAAAAAUGAAAACUGGGGGAUUUUUUAUUUUAAUAUGUAUAAUACCUUUUAGUUAGUUUUGUAAAAAAAAAAUACUGUAUCAGUUAGUUAUCUUUUUUCUUUUAAUUGUAGUUUUUUCUUUUUUUUUUUUUCAAUUCUAGUUUUUAUCAUUUUGUUAGUUUUAAAUAACGACAAUAACCUUGGUUCACACCAGAUGCAAAUAAAUAAUUUGUGCUAGUGGACCUCGUGUAUGUAAAUGUUUUGACAUUGUAGGACACAAGUUCUUUUCACAAACUAAGCAAGUAAAAACACAAUAUUAAGAUGUUGAAAUAUGCAUGAAUUAAGGGAGUGAAUGAUAUAAUUUGUAUCUGGUGUGAACAGUACAUAACAGACAGACAGGCCCCUACUGAUCUGAAGCAGAGUCAGAUGAUUCAUCAAACAUUUUAAGCUAGUUGGAACUUCCUGCACAUCCUGAUGAGUUUCCUCUGACUUGUUGCACCAGGACAAAGUGUGGUUAGCAGUACAGAGACUUUGUUGUUACUUGAGAGUAUAGAGUGGAGUAAAAGUUCAGACCAGAAGAGCAGACAGGGAGGCCUCGGCCCAUCUUUCUGAUUGUUAUAUUAAUCAUAAUGUACUGUAUGCUAUUUUGAAGAUAAGGAGGAAGCUGUUAAACAGUACACAAAUCCGCUAACAAAACCACCCUGCAGGGGGGGAACAUGGACAUUUAGCUCGGAGAAAUCAAUUUGGAUAAAACAUUGACCCCGGUCAAGAUAAGAGACACAAACAGGAGGGAAGCAGGAUACACAUAAUCCCUUUCUGAUUUCAUUUUUUCUUCUUUGCUUCUGUGUUUCCUUUCUCUCUACUGAAUGCUAAUUCUUCUCUGCAGCUACUAAAGCUCACAAUGGAUAAUCUGUAUGGUAAUAGGACUGCUUGAGCCCAACUUAACACAUAAAUGUGUCAGAAACUCUGUCUGAAUACAAAAAAAGAGAGGGAGGAGAGCAUGAAAAUGAAUCCCCCCGUCUCAGAAAAUGCUGCCAUGAUAUUCAGCAGUAUUAAUUUCUAAUUCCACAUUUUCCAUGUUCAGAUGUUCAGGAAAGAGGACUAAUAGCUGAAAUUAUAUUUGGUAAUAAUUCAUGCAGAGUGGACUCCCUUUGAGCGCUGGAGGGAUCUGGCUCUAAUUCAUCAGAAGGAAUCAGAUAACAGCUCUGUGAUAUCCCUGUUUUAAAACAUCUGCCGCUUGCUCAACCUUUCAUCAGGGAACAUGUGUAAAAGAAAUAUGACCAGAAAAUCAAUCAAAUCGCUGAGAACCAGGGGGUGACAACACUUAACAUGGGAGCGACUGCACUUCUUCCACAUCUUAUGUGUCCGUGGAGAUAGCUGUCAGCAGGAAAUGUGAUGUUUCAAUCAUCGGGUGUUAAAAGAGAUGACUUUAUUGAAACAAGGUAAUAAGCAGGUGCUUUAUUUACACAAUCAAACAUGGAUUUGCAGCAUGUGCUCAGAAAACUUGCCAGGACAAUGUCAAGACUGGCUGAUAACAGCAAGUUGCAAGAGCCUGAUCAGAACAGAAGUGCUUCAUGGUGACCAACAAUCAUAAGAAACUGGUCCAAUCCAACGAAGGGAUGAAGAAAUUCAUGCUAAGUAGAUUGGAGGAGGAAACAUGGACUUAAAGCUACAUUUUUACAGCCAGGGGUUUCAAGAGCUGCAGCAAUUUCUGCCACUUUUCUCACCCGAUUUACCAAAUUCUACUACAUUCACGAAAUGAUGGUUGAGUCUACUAUCAUAAGAGACCAUGAGCAAGAUACUAAAUCCAUUCAUACAUGCCUACACAGCUGAUUCUAUCAACAGGAGCAGUGGGACCCCCACAAACACUUCCAUCGAUCCACCACCUCUGAGCUGCAGCUGCUGUGUUUUCUAAUGGCAGUAGAUUAGGAGGUAGAGUGGUAGUCCUAUAACUGGAAGGUUUGCGGUUCAGUUCCCUCUAUCCCUAAUCUGUCCGUUGUGUCCUUCGGCAAGAUGCUUUACCCACCUUGCUCCCAGUGUGUGUCCUCCACUGGUUAAUGAUUGUGAGUGUUGUGUAACUGUGGUCGGAGAGGCUGUAGGCGCAAACUGGCAGCCAUGUUUCCGUCAGUCUGCCCCAGGUCAGCUGUGACUAAGAAGGUAGUUUACCACCACCAAGGUGUGACUGUGUGAGCGAAUAAAUGAUGUAUCCGAUGUAAAGCGCUUUGAGGGUCUCUGAUAAAGUGCUCUAUCAAAUCUGAUGUAUUAUUAUGUCAUGGAUGGCAGAGAACCUUUUGCAGCCUAACCUGGACAAACCUCAGGUUUUAGUCAUUGGUCCUGGAGCUCAGAGAGAGCAACCAAAUGCAAAAGUCAAAGCACUUUCUUACAACCAUGUCCGCAGGUUUAAGAAUCUGUUUGAGACAUAACAAAAGAGAGCGAGAAAAAAAAAAAAACAUUUCCUCACCAAAAGACAUUGUCAGAGAGCAACAGUCACUGCAGAUGUAAAGAUGUAAAUACUGCCAAACUCAUCUGCAAGAAUGUUGACAAAGACCUGAAAGAGAGCCCACAUUACAGCCAUUUUAAAGUUUCUGCAUUGGUUGCAGUACCGUUUGAUUUCAAGUUUAUUUAUACUGGUUAAUAAAGCUCUAAAAGGUCUCGCUCCAACUUACUAUCAGUCGUGGUUCUAACUUAUGAGCCUGAAGGAGCCCUUAGGUCUUCAGCUGCUCCUCCAUAUGUCAAAGACGACUAAAGAUUGGCUUCUGACUCUGGAGAGGUGUUAGUCUUAGAUGCACAUUUCUCACAUGGGACUCCAACCCAGUCUACUACAGGGGGUCUUCCUGUUUGACUCAUCCAACGUGGUCUCCACUUGAAACUGAUUCAUGUGCAUGAGAAAAUGCAUUGAGCAUUUAUUAGUUCUGCGAGUGGUUCAUAUAAGCUUACAGUUAUGGCGCCUGCAGAGCACUUGUAUUAUAAACAUAAACAUUUAAAGAGUUUGUGUGGACGUUGUAACACCAAACUCCCUUCCAGAUGCAACUCCAGUUCAAACAGCUGUUUUUUUUAUAACCGUCUUAUAAUCCUGUCCUUUACAACAACAUGUCUUUGAAAUGUGUCCAUAUAACAGCACUGUUCAAUACCAAUAUCAGGUAUGUGCUUUAAUAUCACAGCAUUACAGCCUAAUGUGAUGAGAACAGUGAAGCUGGUCAGUGAAAGAGUGUAAUGGCAGCUGGCUAAAGCGUAUGAGCCCUCAGUGUAUCUGCAGCACCAUGAAACAUUACAAUAUGUUCUGUUAUUGUUACAGCAAAGUCCAACGGGGCUGUAAUAAAGUCAGGACAAUUAUAUGGCUACAGGGGGAAAUGCUACACAAUUUCAGUUUAGAUGCUUUAUUGGGACAUAAUACCAAUCGAGCUGUCAUCAAAGAGAGGAUUUAAAUAACAGGAAACUCCAGAAAACAUGUGGUGGCGGUUAGACCGCGGCCAUAUCCCUGGAUCUGUAAUCCAGAGCUGCUGUAAGACAAGGCGAGCCGCUUCCAACUGAACCAGAAACAUCAGAGAAGUAUGCUUCACCAAAGAAAGAGGCAGAACCAGAUUAUAUCCUGAAUUGGCAGAAAUUAAUUAUGCACUUUGAUCAUUAUGGCCAAUAGGAAUUAAAGGGAAAUAAUGAGAGGGGAUUUAAUGCUGGGACUUUGUUUUGAUUGUAGUCUACAUUUAGAAGUGCUGCGUGUGUAAAGAUCUUUUCCAGGCUUUGAGCUCUGUAUACCCUCUAAUAUUAAAAGAGAGAGAGGGGGAGAGAGGUAAGAGAGAGGGGGAGAGCCCUCCACCUACAAAGCUUUGUUAAUUAGCUGCUGCCACAUCAGCGUUUUUUAAUGAAACCUUUCGGAUAUGCCUCAUCACAGGCAGAUCUCCUCUGUUUGGAAAGGAGGACAUGGAGGAGUGCGCCUGCAGAAACUUGGAAAAUGUUCUCUGAAUUUGUGCAACAAUGAGUAUUUCUUCACCAAAGUUUUACAGAUCCAUGUGCGACUCUGGACACUUUGCACAGACACUGUACCUUCAUUCUGUCUGGAGGUUUUGGUUCAGGUGUUUACAUGAUGUGGGUUAAUCCCAUGUGGUGUUUACAUGCGGCUGAAGAUUCAAUCAGAGCCAGAUGUUUAACCCCUCUCUUAUUCAGGUGUAGAUACCGGGUGUGCUCAGGUGGUCAGAUCAGCUCAGGGUCCUGCAUUUGAUGUGAUGUCACAGGAUAUGAUUGGAGAUAUAUUUGUACAAUGUUUGCACUUUGCACGGCUAAAUUUGAAACUAAUAAAUGUGAUCAUAACUCAUUCUGGAGACAGUAAACAACUGCUCACACUCCUUAUGUGUGAGCAGUUAUUUAUGUGAUUUAUGUUUUGAUACAAACCUGCACAACACUGAUGAAAACAUCCACCAUCCACAUUCUUUGGGAAUUUACUGUAUGGCCUUUUACUUUCAAGGAGGUGAGAUGUAGGAGUACAGCAGACAUAUCCCCCAGAUGACAAACAUUCAAUGUAUGAGCGCAGCUUUUAAAAUUCUUUUAUCAUGAAGUUAAGGUUAAAUGCUUUUAAGUGGAUUGAAGAAGUUUAAAUGAUAACAUUAAAUUAAAGCAAGAAUCAGUUUGUAACUGAGCAGUUACAUCUUUUGUCGCAAUACUUAAAGUAGUGAUCUAUGACAGAGGCACAUGAUGACUAGUUGAUACAAACUACACCAGGAGAUUAACCCUUAAGCGCCAAGCUUUGUUUGGAAUUAUUGUCAUAAAGCAACAAUAACUAUUGUCUUUUAUUGGCUGAUACUGAGCAGGUUAACAUCAUAAUUCGGCUGAAUGUUCACAUUAAUACCAAAAUAUAUUUAGCUCUGUUGUUGUGAGCUGCACAGACUCAUUUUUGUGGAUUAAAAUAUCACCUCUAUACAGACCUCUUCAGUAAUGCCUCUGCUAUUUGUAGUCUAAUCUGCUGUGCUGUGCAAAAUAGUUCUGUCCUACUGUUUUUUUUUUUUUUUGUUUUUUUUGUUUUUUUUUACCUGGUUGUCAUAAAUUUGCUGACUGGUGUGUUGGCUAUAUCUGAUGCCUGGAUUCUGCACAUGUGAGCUUCAAAGUUGGGCAUAUUUGGAAAACUUCAGUUCACGUGAGCCGCAGCCUUUUGGACCUGAUUCAUCACAUUUGGUUCACAUGUUCUCUCGCCUGUAUGGGUUAUGGUUGAUGCAAACUGGACAUUUUGUACAUAUAAUAUAUUAGACUGAAAUGUUUAGGCCUACAUAAAAGCUUGUAUUGUAACUUAAAAAGCAAAAAAAGCUAAUUGAUUAUAGUAAAUGCAAAAAAAAAAAAAAAGAGUAAAAAGAAGGGCUUGAAGAUGUCUUGCCAGCUGUCUGUAAUGAAAUUAAAAGUCAUUACCUCCAUUAGUUUGGACCUGUUUAUUUUCAUUGAGAACUUUUCAUUGUGUUUUGACUGUGAUAAUACGCUCCAUGUUAACACAGCUUGAGUAGACAUGUUUGUGUGUGUGUCUGUGUGUGUGCGAUUGCAAAGAGACACAGGAUAGGUCCUCUCUCUGCUGUGCAUACAGGCGUUGGAUGUGUCUUGCUGCUUAAGCGUCCUGCUAAUCACACAAAUUAUUGCUUCCAAUUAGCGCGGUGGUAGUAAUUAAUUUCCGACUAUCACAUCGUUUAGCGUGCUUUCACACCGUGGCACCUGUUUUCCCCAAUCCUGACACCCUGUUUGUUUACCCCUCUGAUAUUAUUUGCAUUUUAAAGCUUUAGUUGAAGAAGGCAGUCUGCAUGCUGCUGCAGAGAUGUUUUUAAGGAACACGGGUCACAGACAAUAGGACUACAAAGAAGCAAAAGCAAAGACUCCCACUGAGAGCACUCCUCGCACCAACACUGCUGCACCCUCCCUUUCUCCUCCACCUCUCUAAUAUGGAUUAAUAAAGUGAUAACGCUCUUUGUUAAUUAAUAUGAGCGUGCAGUACUAAUUACUUUGCUGUACGACAAGCAAGCUGUUGAACCCGUAAAAGGAAUGGUGUCAGAUCGGGCUGGCGAUGCUACAGCGCCAGGGCUGUGUUCAGACUAGUAAUGGAGUACAGAGGGCAGAUGGAGCGAGAGAAAGGAGAGAGAGGAAGAGGUUUGUGAAUAAUCACAAUGCAAUCAAGAAGCUCUGAUAUUCAUAAGAGCUGCUGAAUAUUCAGAAGAUCGUCGUGCCAGUCAACAGUCAGUGUCAGGCCCACACAUGCUACAAAUCUGUCCAACAAAGCAAACGCACGAGCAUUAAAGAUGUGAGGAUGUUUUACAGCCGGCCUCGACAGGAUCAGCAGCGCUCUGCAGAUUUAUGUCCUCAGAGCGACUUUAUCUCCAGCGCUGAUACUGAGCACAGGCCAAAGAUCUCUGUAAAACUUUUGACUUAAAUCACUGUCAUAAAUUACAGCCAGAAUGAGUGAAACUUUAUUUGAAAUACACACUAAAACAGACAAAAUUAUAAACACUGAGAACAAGACAAGUGUGCAACUGUCUGCACCACAGAACUUUUAUAGAAAUGUAGGAUUUUCAUUUGAUUGAUUUGAUCACACAUGAUGCACAGAUGCAUCUGAAAAAUGUGUUUAAUAUGGUGAAAAAGUAAAAAUUAAAAUAGAUUGAAGAGGCAGCACAUAUUCACUACGAUGUCUGGACAAUGGCUUACAGCUCAAAACAACAACAAAACAUACUUAAAAAUAUCAGAAUAUUGACUUUUUGGUAACUUCACUAUUUUUACUUAGUAUGAAAAAAACUUUUUCACAAUUUCCUCUGAUUCAGAAACACUUAUACUUAUUGUAGAUAGAAUCUGUUCAUUCAAAAAACAGGCUAGGUUUUUUCAAAUGUUGUUCAAGAGUAACUUGCUAAAUUUUAAUCUUAAAUUUAUUGAACAGCAUUUAAAAAAUUACGUAUUUUAAAAUUUGAAACUCUUCAACAUCAAUAUUGAAAUCAACUUUGUUUUUACUGUCACUGUCAACAAAAGCCGUUUAUUGCCUUUGUUGACAGUGAGGAGAAAUCUCAUAAGGGUUCUCCACUGGUUAAUUGUCAAGGGUUGUAGUUUAGCCAGCAACCACUAGGACCACACUCUCUGUGCAUGGGGCCUACCGUUGCUCUUAAUGUGAAUUCUUAACGGUUUCUGUAUUUUUGGAUGAAGUUAAUGCCAUUAAAUUUACUGUAUGAUCUCUCAUGACCUGGAUUGACUGGUCUGCUAACGCUCCACCAGAAGGAGCGCCGAUGGGAGUUUUUUGAAGGCAUCUGAAGACCCUGAGAGGUCGGAAAUAGCUUCAAAAUAAAGAAAGAAAAAGAACAAAAGUUGUAUGAAGGCUUUCUCCUGUUUAAAAAUGUGGUGGUGUUGUGAUUUUCCAGCAGCAAGAAGACAAAGUGGCUCGCUAUUAAAGAGACACGUCAUAAUCAAGUGUUUAUGUUGGAGGCAACAUAGACAGCAUUUAUAUUUUUAAAUGUUUUUUUUAAAUUUCAAAUUCAUAAAAUGUAUGUCAGAAAGUGGUCAAAGAAAUCAGAGAAAAGGAAACAAAAACAAUGAAUAUCAUCAGCAGACACCAAAAAUCUUCAUGCACAUGUGCUGAUACAUUUACUCAUCGACUGUAAAAUCCUGAACUUAACCUCAAUUUACCAGCAAAUUCUUGUGAUUAUCUUAUUCAACCAAUGUCAGCAUGAUUUAUCUUGUUUAGAUAUAACCAAUUUUAGUUACACAGUUAAAUGCUUUCACACCCAUAAGGAUUUAUUUCAUACACAGUUUUACUGUUUUUUUUACCCGUGCAUUACAGGUACCUGCAUGUUGCUGAACAUGUUUGUUUAAUUACUCCUGCAAAAGUUAUCUGAUGAUAAACUACAAACAAAAAAAAGAUUAUUAGCUCUUUUCUCAGGUAAUCCAGACAGAGCGAGAAACCAGACCAAGGAUGAUAUUUGGAGUCAGAUUUCAUAAAGGUAAUUUUACAUUGAAAUCUUCCAGAAGUGUGUUUUUUUUUUUUGUUUUUUUUUUUUCUGCACCAUGAUGCCCAAAAAGAUUCUUUGCAUUUGUGAACAUGUGAAGAAAUUCACCCCUGAAGUGAUUUGCAAAGGUGGUUUAUGCAUUCAGGAAUUUUGAGCUUGAAAUAUUUUUUAAUCUUUGUUACUCUGAGUUUUUUUUUUUUUUUUUCCCCCUCUUGGUUUAGCUGCUCCUUGAUAAUCACACAAAAGUAGGAAUCAAGGGGCACAUCUGAGGGACCCUUCAGCUGGUCCUCAAACUCAGAGCUCACUGUUCAUUUCAUUGAUAAAUUUUCCAUUACAUUGAAGCCAAAGCACAAUAUAAAGUCUUUCUUAUUUUACACUUUAAGAUUCCUUUGUCAGAUAAAUUUCAUAUUUUGAGGGUCUUUUGGAGCUCUUCCCCUCACUGUGCUGUGCUAACGCAGCCCUCAGUGGUAAAUGUCAGUGCAUGUGAGCAGGAACACAUAACUUUCCCUGUAAUACAUGAAGCGAGAGGCUCCGUCCUCUCAAAGAUUGUUGCUUUCAUAACACUGAGAUCAGUUUCCUUGCACACUCUUCCCCCUACUGGUGCAAACCCAUAAUCAUUGGGCUUAACCAUAUGUGUGUAUUCAUUAACAUAUUGAUAUCUGUUAUCUAUAAUUCAUGGAAACAUGUUUUUAAAUUUAUAUUCAAAAUAAGAAGCUGUAUUUUGAUUCUUGUUGGGCGUGCAGGGAGCAGGCGUUUCAGCUGUUUUUCAGCAUACACCGUCUGAGCAGCAUUACUUUUUAAAUACUUUUAAUACUUACACAUUUAAACGCCUGAUCACUCUUCUUCUGUGGGUUUCUGCUGCUGUCGGGUUUUAUAUUUUACAAACACUCACACGGAGAGGAUUGGCUUUCAUUUGUGAGCCUCUUUUCUUCUUCCUAGACAAAAUGAAACAGCCUUUACAAAGAUUUAUGACUUUUUUGAGGGGGUAGAAAAUAUUCUUAAUAAGAUCAAAUUUAGCAGAAUCCACCUAAAAAUCUGUGCCUUUGUUUUCUGCAGAACAUAUCCUGUGAGCGUGAGUCUUUUCAAAGUAAAGACAAUUAUCUAUCAGGGUGAGAGUUUACGCUUCAUGCUUCAUCUAUUUAAAAUUUCUUUGAAGUCUUCAGCAAAAAAUAAUUCCCAUUACAGUCAAGAGGUAAUAAAAACAACCAAGCAGAUGUUUAAAAAAGAAAAUCAAUCAAAGCUUUAUUGUUUUUAUUCGAAAAAAAUCAAAAAUGACUAAAAUUUACCAGUCAAAAAAAAAUAGGAAGAACACUUCAGGAAUUUCUUUUCAUACCAUCAGUGUUGCAAAAAUGUGAGAGGAGUCGAAGGAAACAAGUUGCAUCCCCCCUCUGCAGGCGUCUGCAGGGGGGAGGAGGAGAACGAGGGAGGAAGAGCUCCCGCACUGUAUGCAGAGGGCGAGGCAGAAACGCUCCUCUAAAGUAGGUUUGAUGAGAAUUAACGGCACUAGAAGACGGUGAUUUUUUGACAAUGGCUAUUAAGAAUUAAUCAGACCGGUGCUCAAUAAUUUAUCGUGCUUCCCAAAGUCCCCCAUUAAUUUUUGAUCCUCUCCGUCCCUCCCCAUCCAUUAUUUGCAUGAAAUCAAACAAAGAUUUCUCAAUAAUGUGUUGCUUGAUUGACGGCAGAAGUCUUUAUCAGGGCUAAAAUAUGUUGAUGCAGAGCGGGGUCGAGGCCUCUUGUAAUGGGCAUGCGAGCUGUUGUGUUGCAGGAAUGCUGAAUUUCUAUCAGGAUGUUUGACAGCGCUGCUAAACCUUUUAAAUUAUGUGCAAGAGUCCAUUUAUGAAAUACUGAGUCAAAAAUGAGUAAUUUCCUGAUUGUAGGACUUAAAAUGUUCACAUACUUCUUCAGCACAUAUUAAAUAGCUUUCUUUAGGCUUGCUCUGCUUAUUUACAGAACAUUUUUGAGGUAGAAAUAUAAACUAUGCUGUAAAAUCAUAGAAAAAAAUUCAGUGGAAAGGCAAUCUAAAUCUUCAGGGGCAUAUUUGUAUGUCUAAAACCACACAUGUUCAUGAAUAGUACAUCAUAACAAAGAGGGUUAAAUAAUAAAUUGACAAACAUAUCUCAAGUUGCAGCUUUUAAUAAGCUCUGAAGCUCCAGCUGGAAGAUGCUGCAGCCUCUCUGUAAUUAUUCCAUAACCACUGCUGGAUUACUCUGAUUUAUGUUGUAAAUGGGUUUUUAAUAAAAGUGCACGAGGAGGAGAGAAGAGGAGGAGAAAAGAGAGCAACGAAAAGACAUGUGAGGCGAGACGAGAUGAGAUGUGGACUCUCAGAAGACAUCAGAGAUAAAUCAUUUUUUCUGUCUACCUCAAAACGAACAGAAAACUUGAACGUCCGACAGACAAAGUCUGAUCCGUCAGGACUGUCUUUGACCACAAACCAAACUCAUACCCUUGAUUCAGAGGAACAGCAGAGUGGUCAUUAGAGGAUUAUACGUAGCCUAAAGCUACGGUGUCAGCUUCCUUAUGUUAAUGGGCCUGUGGCCUGGAAAAAUGAGCAUGGAGCUCUCUGGGGCACAGAGGAGAUCACCUUGCUCUCUGUUGUUCUCAUUAAAUAUAAAGACCAGAGCUCAUCUCCGUUUCUAAACCUCUGACAUCGGCUUUUGAAAACUGACUGCAACCAAUCAGGCAAGACGUGAUCAAGAAAUUGAUCUUGCUUUGCUGUUCAGUUAAAUACAGUUAGUGUUUGUAGUUCCUCCCUGAGCUCAAAAGCAGUGUCAUAUUUCUGUCCUCUUUGUUGUUUUCUUGUAUUUUUAUAUUGCAAAGCACUUUGGUUGUGUCUGUUGUUUUUAAGUAUGUUGUUUUAAUACAGGUGGACUUGAUUUGACUAUUUUGGUGAACGAUGUCCCCGCAGCUUUAUUACGGAAGUCAGAUGUCAUGAUCGGAGUGAUGACAGAGGUUAAAAGCUAUCUUUUGUAACUUCUUUCACCUCCUAGAGGAGGAUAAGGAAGAUAAGGCCGGCACUUCAAUAUGACUUUGGCCUAUGGCCCGGUGUAACCUGUACAUGGAGUAACACUCAUGACUCAUUGCAUACUACUCGUCAUGGUACCCAUACUGUAACUGUCUACACAACAUGUAGGUUACUUAAGUUACUCGUCACAGCACACAGACUCUCCACAGUAAGUUACACAUAGCUACACACGGGCUCAACACCUUGGAACUUACUGCUGGCUAGGCUAACGUCACACAAUGUGGCAAACACCAGGCUGCUAACAAUACAUGACAUUCAUAGCACCAUUUCCAAGAAAAAAAUAAAGUACUCGUUCCAGUACAUGUAACAGCAACACAUCCUGCUCGUAAUGAACAGUCACUUACUUAUCCAGCAGGAUCAAGGCAACAUGAGUGUCGGACCUCAGUCCAAUCUACUCCUUCAGGGCUCUCCAUCGAGGAAAAGCGACGCCGAUGCAAAUCCGCAUUAGUCUUCUCCGUCGGUCACUCUCCUUCUUCGCCAACAGACCUUCUGCUGAACAGGAAGCCUUUUUCUUUUUGAGUAGGAUCCACUUCUGAACCUCUUGGUCGCUUCUUCUAGUUCUCCACCAUGUUGCUACUAGCAGCACUCUCCUCCCCCCUCCCUUCUCGUUGUCAGGUAAAACCGAGUUCAACGCAACAUUUCCUUUGUGCCAACACAGGAAUGUCACCCCUGACACCAAAUACAAAAAGAACAAAUACUGAAAAAUAACAAGAUGUUAGAGGAGCCAAACAGCUCAAUCUGCGUUGUAUUAUCUCCUCUUGUAGUGAGUUGUGUGAAACGGAUAUUUACAGACAUGUAGAUCUUACGAACUAUAGCUUUAAAUACUGGGCUUUAUUGAAUCCAUUUUAUAUUUUCUUCUCCACUUCAGGAUAUUUUUUUUGCACCUCUUACUUUAAAGUAUGUACCGGGAGCCUGAUUCUAACUAAAACUUUAAAUUCAACUUAGAAACCAUGAUGGGCCUUAAAUAAAUGUAACACUUGUCUUUGGAAAAUGAGACUAACAAUAUUUUUUAUUGUACAGUUUGCUCAUUUUUUCAGUAUUGUCAAACUGUAAUAUUACCUGUAAGAUUAGUGAAAGACUAAAGCAGCACUGGUGUAAAACAGUGUCAGAAAGGGGAUCAUUUUAAUGCUUAGUUUUACACUUACACAACCAGAGCUACAUCAUGAUAAGGUGUCUCUGAGUCUAUACAUUUUACUUUUUAUUGUCACAGCGCUGUGCCUCCAUCUUAUGAGUGUCGAUGUUCUCUUUAAGGUUUCAGCUCAGUCUGCUGGACAGGCAAGUACAGUAAUAUCAGGGCCAGUAAACAAUUUGGUAGGAGUUUUGGCGCUGUGGGCAUGUGCCCAGUCCUGCUGGUAAAGAAAAUCAACAUUUCCAUAAAGGUUGUAAUUAUAGCGAGCCAACUCCCCCAGAUCUUCCCUUCUUUUGUUUUAUAGGUCCAGAAUUUGCAUGCAGAGAGCUCUGUGCUCCUUGUUUUUGACAUUGUGCCGUGUCAAACAUUCAAAUGUCGGCCUGUGAGUCAAUGCCAGAAGAUCAGAGGAAGUUAGAGCACAUGGAUCCCAUCAGUAGACUCGUCUCAGCCUGCAUGGUUCUGCCACAGUAGCUGUCUACAGGCUGCUGCUGGUCCUUAGUUGUUACAGAAGACUUGCAGGAAGAUUAUUUCAUUACCAGCAGUUCCUUUUUUUUUUAAUUAAUUUUUUUUUUUUGUCCUCUAAUAUUAUUGAAGUAACUGUUUAACUUUAGGCAUGGAGUAUGUGUGCUUUGUUAUUUGUGUGUGUGAGUGAGUGUGUUUCACGGUACAAGCAUCAUUGAGAAUCUCUGUGAAUCUCAGUUAUCUUCUGUCCUUGGUCUGUGGACUGUGUGUGGAAGAAUGGAGUCUGUAGUGCUUAUAUGAGAUAAAAGUGUGUGUGUGUGUGUGUGUGUGUGUGUGUGUGUGUGUGUGUCUGUGUGUGUGUGAGUGGGUGCGUGUGUGUGUGUGUGCGCGCCGAGAUCCAUGUGAAUAUGAGUUGCAGAGUGAAUAUAGAUCAGUCUCCCAGAGGCUAAGUGAGAUGGCUGCUAUAAUAUCCCCCAAUUACACACAGAUCAGCCCCUGACCAACCACCCACUCCUGUCACUGGCCAUCACAUACUGUGAGUGCACGCGUGUGUGUCUGUGUGUGUGUGUCUGUGUGAGGAGUUUGGGGAUAGAAGGUGUAAAUGUAUGCACUCUCAGUUAGCGUGCCUAAAAACAAACCAUGGAAACCUAAAUAUAAGAUGACAGUGGUGAUAUAGCUCUCCACAGUAAUCACACUAGCAGUGGAAAUGUUUGUGUGUGUCUGUGUGUGUGUGUGUGUGUGUGUGUGUGUGUGUGUGUGUGUGUGUGUGUGUGUGUGUGUAGGCUGCAUCUGAGGGUUAAUGUUAAGUAUGUCUGUGGUUGCUGGUGCACCACUGAAUGUGCAUCUAAAUCUGAAUCUGCAGAUGCAAUGUCAUUACUAUGAUGUAUGCUUUUUGCUACCUACCAAACAAAUUAAUCUAUUCUUUGCCUUUGUUUUUUCACAUGGGAAAUAUUUUCUCUGUGUAGCUAGAUUAUGGCAGCAUCAUACAGGAGCUACAUGGUCAACACUGAUCGAAAAAGCAGUGGUUUUGAAAAAAAAAACAAGCCCAGCAGUCCAUUAAGUACAAAUACUCAAUACCUGUUCAGACUUUCACAUUUGAAUAGUUGAAUUAGCAUCAAUAAAUAUGGAUCAUGUGGAAAUACUUUCAAAAUAAAGCUUGCCAAGAAAUACAUAUAAGAAUUUAAAACCUCUAGGUCUACAGUGCUGACGCUUUCCGCACUCCAAUUUAGCACCAACCCACCAUAGAGUGCUAUUGUCGGUUAAGUUUAGGUGCUAGCAAAUCAAAUGACAAGUGCAUAAGCUAGAUAAUGACAUUUGCACCAUAGGACAAAAGGGUGCUGCGAUACAUUAAGUUUACGUGAUGACUGCCUCCAGCUAACAUUAUCUUGUUUGAGUCGGCCUGAAAGGAUCUAAAAUGAUCACAGUUGAGGUUCUGUGGUGACUUUAGCUUUGUCUUGCAUAUCUGACCCGACCGCUGGAGCGGAUCCACAGUAGAGCUGGAUGGCGGGUGUAUUGUGUGGAAUUACGCACAUAGAUUAUAAUGCUUGCGUGUUUGAUCAGGCUGCCAUACUGGAGCAGAGCGGAGGGCAGCCGUUCUGUAUCUUGUAGAAUUUAGCCAUUACAUAAGACUCCCAAGUGGAUUAUUGGAUCUCUCUUGCUGAGGUUUCCGCUGCCUCCCAGAACAAGACGACUUACAUGCGACAUACUGACUGAUGACUGUACCACGAGUACCAGACGACUUUAAAAGUUUAUUUAUUCAUUUAUUGUUAUUUCCCUGGUGUGAGAGUCGCAGAAUGAGGUAACUACUCCUUGUGUGACCUGGAGCUUGACCUACCAGGUCUCACUGUAACCUUUCACAUGAUAGGAGACGAACAGGUGGCUCAGUUACAAAUUCAAGAAUUAUGUUGAAGACUAAAAACCACUUCAUUUUGCAUUAGGCUGCAAAAAUGUGAUUUUUUUUUUUGCUGUCAAAAUGUGAAUCUGGGGAUUUGCUGUGGCAGAGCUUUGGGAGUACGCUUCACAUGGACACCUCAAAAAGAAACUUUUGUUUGCACUCAUUUUUUGAACACUGGUUUUACUUGUAAAUCUACCCGGCAUGAGUAAAGGGAGGAGCAGGUAUCAGUGUAUUACUGUCUGCAGAAUAACAUCCAUGCUCAUGACUGCUCCUCCAGCAUAUAUCCAGUUUAUCUCCGGCUGAAGACAUGAGCAGUAGGUUUGGGUUUAUGGUUGGUUUUACUAGGCGGAGCACCUUUACAGCUGUACUUCACAUGCUCAUGUGUUGUAAGAGAUUUAUCUGCCUAUCAUCAGUCAGCCAGAUGUGACUGCGAUGAUGUUUAUAUCCAUGUGUAUGUGUGUGUUUGUGAGUGUGUGAUUUGUGUGUGUUGGUGCCCUCUUGAUCUGACCUGUAGGUGCAUUAGCUGAUUUCUGCUGAACUCACAAAGAGCUGUUUGAGAUGCUGUGGUGAUUAUAGCAGAAACUCACACACUCGCUCACAAAGAAGAGCAGAAGCUGCAGAUCAGUCUGGGGACCGGCCACUGCGGGCAGCGUCUAAUUGCUCUCAGAGGAGAAAGAAAACUGGUGCAGAUGUACCUGCUCUCUUUGUUUUCUCUUCCCUUUCUUCGCCCAUGUUUCAGCUCCUCCUGCACUGCCCAUCAUUGUCUGAGCAGCGACUUCAUCACUCAGGGUGACUGCGGAGUUAAAGAGGAAGAGUUGGAAAUGGAGAGAGUUACAGGAGGAGACCGAGAGAGAGAGAAGAGGCCCUUUAUUAAACCUGCUGCUAAUUGAGAUAGCACGAAAAUAAUGGGGAGUGACACUUUAAUGAAGACAUGCUACGUGUUACCACUUCUUGCUUCCUUUGCCUCCGCUACUGAAAGGAGGAGGAGGUGAAAUGAAGAGAAUAAAGCAGAGGGGAGGGAAGAGGAAAGCAUGAAGAAAGAUCGGAGGGUGAGAGCUUCAACUGUUUUAUUGCAAAAAGAAAAAAUAAAGGCAGAAUUGAUACAGGCUCGCAUCUCAUGCUGUAAUGUGUUUUCAGCGGCACGUCAAAAGUAAGAGUUAAAGGGAGUUAUAGGCAGGGAUAUUGUUCUAUCACGUUAAAACACGAUUAUGUUUCAUCAGGGCUGUUUCUCCACACACUUGCAAUAGACUGCUCUUUGUACUGUGUUCGAUGUAACAUUCAGGGUGUUUGUUUUCUCCCCUCAAAUAAAAAAAAAGGACAGAAAAAGAAACUGUCGAACAAAGUGAAGCCAAAACAGAGAGGAUAUUCCUCCCUGAUAUCUCUCUAUUCGGUUACAGCUCUCAAAAUCUGACACGAGUCGACAAUCAUUGGAUUUUUUUUUUCAGGGAGGUGAUGAUCGGCAAUAUGAAGAAAACACAGCUUCAUAAUAUGUCAGUGUUACAGACAUCAGUAAUACAAUAACAGCAGUUUUAGGAGGGGAAAGUGAACAUCUAAUGAGGAAUCAUAGACAUCUGUUUUUGUCUUUUUAUUCUGAUAAGAUUAAAAUGAGCUUUCACAAUUAUGUGCAUUUAAAGGAAUGUGGUAACAAAGGAUUCACUGCUAUGCAUGAAAAUCUGCUGCAAAGUUUGACCAGCGUGAUGCAGUUUCUCAUCUCAGUAACUGUCUUAGUGAAAUACUGUGCAUCUGUGUGUGAGCGUGAAAACAAGCUUCAUAAUACUGUAAAGUUUCUAACACUGCAAAGGGAGGCUGCACCCUGCUGAGACUGAAGAGUGAGACUGCCUGUGCUCACCCCAGUCUAAAAAAGUCACACACAUACACACACACACACACUCCUGUACUGCAGAUGAAUAUGAAAUCAGAAACAGGUAUAAAUAUUUAUGAAGUGCAUUAUUCUUUGGCUUUUUGCUAAAGCAGAGGUGAGCAUGAUUUGGCCCUGUCUUCCUCUGUUUUGCACCCUCUUCACAAACGCCGGCCAAUAUAGACACACAGGAAAACCAGCAAGCUGGAAACCACACACACACACACACACACACACACACACACACACACACACACAGUGAAGAAAUACAUAACCAACAGCUUAACUGAAACACUAUAUCUGUGCAGGUAUAAAGGUGCAUCUGUUACGUCCGCCUGCAAAGUAGCAUCCUGGGAGACCUGCCAAUUCAAACAGUUUCAACCCCUCACACAAACACACACACACACACAUACACACUCACACACACAUACACACACACACACACACACACACACACACACACACACACAAAGCAGAUGAAUGCAUUUACCUGCAUGAGUGGAAAUAAAGGAAGCACAGUUAGACUGAUGAUGCUAAAGGAUUUAAGACAUUUCUGUGGUAUAAAAAAAACUGCCCGUAGUUUUUGCAAAGUUAUCAGAAUUGUAAUUUGUGUAAUUUGUCCUUUAAAAAUGUAAUUAAAACCAUAACACAAACCCUUCUGAACUCUGAACCUUAUGUCUAAGUAAAUUCAGCUAAAUCACAGGAGAACAGGCGCAACUGUUUUCAGUCAGAUGCAAUCUUUAGAUGAAAAUGGGUAAAAUUCUAGGUCACAUUUUGGGAUUUUUUUCUCUUCCAUAUCUGCAUUAAUGCUGAACAAUAUCUACAGGUUUAGGACAGAGACUUUUUCAGGGAAGACCUUCAUAUUUCAGCAAGACAAUGACAAAACACAUUCUGACAACAGGGAUUACAACAGCAUGGCUCUGUAGUAGAAGAGUCCUGCUAAGAAACUGGUCUGCCUGCAGUCCUGACUUGUCCCCCCUAUCAAAAACAUCUUUAGCAUCAUGACAUAAAAAUCAGGACAAAGGAGACCCUGAACUAUUGAGCAGCUGAAAUCCUCUAUCAGGCAAGAAUGGGACAAUAUGUGACUGUCAUUAGUCAUUUAGUCAUAGUCAUUUUUGCAUUGGCUGGCCGACCCCGCCUCCCAGUUUUGACAGUUGGGACAGUCACCCGAUGGCAGUCGCCAUUACAUGCCAUUUAACGCAGAGGAAAAUAUGCCAAUUCCCUGCUGUUGUUUUUCAGGUAAGUUACUGACGUAAAUUGGUGGAAUAUUAGCUUUAAAGGCAAUUCUGUGAUGGUUAAUAAAGUUGCUAACUACUGGGUAUGCCCAGUCUCCUCUCAGACACAAACGGACCAGGUAGCUACAGGUAAGCACUAAAGCACCGGACUGCUUGUCCUGGUGCUGUUUUUAGUUCUGUUAGCUUUUUAGUAUAGUAGUCUGUUGUUCAGCAAAAGAUUUGGUGGUGGCCGAUCUGCACAGCUGUCCUUCACUCAGUCAAAUGGAUUUGGUCAUUAAAAAAAGUGAAACGGCUACAACUAUUGAAGGUACGCAGUAAAGUGACAUUUAUUUUAACUACUCAUGUGCUUGGCCCCCCACCCCCUGUUUAUUUAUUUUUAUUAUUUUCUUUUGCAGGCUGUCGGAGGAAGAACCAGUUAUGUGCGCUGUUUUGCAGGUGUUUGCUUCUCCCGUCUGUGCUGAGUCCGGACAAUAAAGUGUUUUGACUUGACUUAUGGCUCUUCAUUAUUCACACACAUGAAAGUAGGUAGCAACUAGUAAUCUGUAUUAGGUCGGCAUUGUUUUAUACAACUUGGAUUCAUCGUCCAACCAUCGUGUGUUGAUCAUUUUAGAUCAAGGCCUGACUUCUUUGCGACAUUGUGAAACUAAAUGUAUUGGGCAUGAUGUCGACAUGAUGUACAUGUGCUGUCUGGGAUGAUGGGAAACCAUGACCAUCUUUUUUCAUCUAGGUUAGUUUAAACUACAUAUUUUCCAAAACUCAGUGAAGACAUGCUCUUUUAUUGCAUUUCUUUGUGUUCUGUUCAACGCUAAACCGUGAGGGGUCAUGGAAGCACCAGCCUUAAGAGAGUGAAAGUGAAAUCAAAAUAAAAUCUUACUUGAUGGAGGACUUGGCCCAGCUGCUGGUGGUAAAAUCACAAGUACCAUGCAGGUCAAAUAUCUCUAUGUGUCCUGAUGUGUUUGCUUUCAUCAACGAUUAAAGAAAAUAAAGCCAAAGUGAGGAAUUCUGCACACAGUUCUGCAACCACUCUCUACUGUUGUCCCAUUAUGGUCAUCUCAGUGUGUUUGAUCACUCAGCAGGAAUCUUUAAGAGCCUGUUGAAUAUAAAGCAGUACACGCUGCUGGUCAUUUGGAUGGUUAUCUUGCUCCUAUUGGUUGUCACAAUUCCAUUUAAGACUGUACUGAUGAAGAGCUGCUCACUGCGUUGAUAAUCCAGCUGCUUCGGGUGGAUGGAGACUUUUAAAAUAGUUUACAAUGCUCCAAAUGUCAGCAAAGUCCACACACACUAAUACAAAUCAUCUCAGCUGCAUGUGGGUACAAUCGUCUGUGUAAACUGCAGAGAAAAUAAAGUUAUUACGUCUCUCCCUCUCCCAGCCACCACGUCUCUCUCGUCUAAUUCCUGUGUCCUCCAGUGUGAUGGUAAAAAAUGAGGCUCCUUACGCAGCGAGCUGCAGCUUUUUUGAUUGAAGUGAGUGAUUUUCCCCAGCCGCACACCUGCGUAAAACAGAUGAUAAUGCUGUUGGAGUCAUUUACUGUGACUUUACCAAGAUGAAUAUGAGCAGCGCUUUCUCAUCAUGCAAAUGUGGCUGUGCAGAAACACCUCUCUGCUUUGCCCUCCUCUCUGGGGAGGACUAUUUUUUGCAGCAUUACAAAGAAAGAUUACCAUAACCGAGUGAUUCAACUCUUUACUGGAGAAUGUAAACUCGCCCUUUACUAUUGCUGUGACUGUUAUUAUUAUUUGUUUUGGGUAUAACACUAUAUUUACAAUGAAACGGAGCAUAGCAGGGCCUGGCUGUGGGCUGCAGUGGCACCAUGCAGCCCUGCUCAGAUUGAUAGGAACACAUCAUCAUUAUUGGACAGUCUCCACUGUCACAUCGCCUCCAGCUUAAAUGUCUUGGUCUUUCUCUCUGCCACUCUUUUCUCUCCCUCCCUCUCUUUCUCUAAUAGCCCUUCAUUUCCUCUACCCAUUGCCCCUGCAGGCCACAUGUAAUACUCUGAGUGACCCGACUAGCUGGGAAUACACUAAAUUUGUCACACACACACACACACACACACACACACACACACACACACACACACACACACACACACACACACACACACACUGUCAGAGAGAAUAAGGCGGUCAGGGACAUACGUCUUCUCUUGACACUAAAUGUCACCUGUCAGCCAAGACGUGUGGAGACAGAGGAAGAAGAGAGCAGGUAAACAAUAAGACAGAAAGCACAGCGAUGGAGUAAAAAAUCACAACCUGCCUGCAGAGAGCAAGAUUUGACUUUAUAGAUUUAGCAAUCACAGACCAUUCAAACCUUUACAAUAUGCUCCUCAUAUUGAUCUCCAUAACUUCAACAACCAUCCGUGGAAAUAAAAAGCUUUAUGCAACAAUAACAACAUCUCUUACCUCCAGCCUUUAUCACAGGUUGAACGCAUAAGUGGUUGUUGCUGGAAAGAAGGGCUUCACAGGGUUCAUUAAAGGGAUUUUCCAGCGUAAAAUUAAGCUAGGGUCAAACACACCGUAACCCUUGAGAGAUGAAUUUUGCUGACCUCUUGCUUCUCAAGUUACACAAACUUCAGUAAUGCGCACAAACUUCAACCAAAAAGCCACUCUAUAGCCACAAAUAAUUCUCAGAACAGCACCUAACUUCAUCAACAGUACAUACAGGGUCCUAGCCAUAGUACUAGCCACCAAACAUCUUUUUAGCUUUGACUGGUUUCUUAAGCAAAGAGACUAAACACAAUUCACCCACUCUCCCCCAGCAGCUGCUUGUUUGUGGGGGAGCCCUGACGAGUCGAUCACCAAGUGCAGCGGAGUUUCAAAGAUGAAGCAAGAACAAGGAAGGACAUUAUUUCUUCAUGGAAAUACAAUCAGACUGAGACGCUAAGGCAGACGAACUACAGCGUCUGCAGUGCAAAAGGAUUAAUAUGAUUAUUAAUUAUGAUUAUUACUUUAAGAAAAUGAUCCGCUGCACCUGGUGAUCGACUCGUCAGGGCUCCCCCCACAGACAAGCAGCUGCUGGAGGAGAGUGGGUGAGUUAUGUUUACUCACUUUUCGAAAGAAAUCAGGCAAAGCUAAAAAGAUGUUUGAUAGCUAGUACUAUGGCUGGGACCCUAUAUGUACUGUUGAUGAAGUUAGGUGCUGUUCUGAGCAUUAUUUGUGGUUAUAGAGUGGCUUUUUGGUUGAGGUUUGCAUGUGGAAACGUAGACCGCUGUGUAUUGCUAUUGUGCGGCUGUUGCUGAAAGUGGUAAAACUAGAGAAACAAGUAGUCAGUGACAUUUAUCUCUCGAGUGGGUGUCUAACUCAGUGUUACAGUGUGUUUGACCCUAAUUAAAUUUUACACCUGAAUAUCUCUUGAAGAGAUUUUUUUUAUGAGUGAAGCCGCAAUUUAUGUGAUUAUAUCAAAAUUCAGUCAUCUUUCUUUAGUCAUCUGUUCCUUUUCUGAGGAAUCCCCUCAAAAGUACAGCGGGUUAGAGGUCCUGUUUCACCUAAGGAUCAGUAAGAAAAGGCCAUGGCAGCAGAAGUGAGCUGAUGAUAACCAGGAGGAGGACAUAAAGUAUAAACAGACACCAUUUCUCACUGAACUUCUGCGUACUGUAUAUAUCCUGUGUGUGUGUAAAGUUUGCAGCGAGCGCUGAUCCAAUAUCAUCUCACAAGUUCUGAUAUCAUCGUGCACACUUUAGGCAAAGUCUGAUUACAAUGCAGCAAGAAAACCACAGCGGGGACACGGCUGCUCCAUCACGGCUGCUAUCUUGUUUCAUCAUUGUCAUAAGCACAUUUCUCAUCUGCCAUUUGGAAACAUAUUGCCCUGCAUGCUAUCGUGGCUUUGAUAGCAAGAAGCUCCACUUCCCUGUUUUGAUAUUUAUGAAUAGUUGCAUCGGGGAUUGGACGUUGAUCUCUCUCAUACAGGCGUCAGACUCUCAGUGUGUGUGUGUGUGUGUGUGUGUGUGUGUGUGUGUGUGUAAGUGUGUGCUGGGUGAGGGAUGGGACCGUGUGUGUCAUAAGUAACUGACCUGGGACUCCCCCAUGUUUAAUCUGAGAGCCAAACAGAACUCAUCUGCAGGCUGAAUAUUGAGUGUUUGAGCGUUCUGUCUCUCUCACACACACACUCACAAACACACACACACAUAUUAUAUGCCUGUGUCGGUGUGUCAGGAGAAUGAUAGUAAUGUUUGCCUGUGGAAAAGCCUUUACAAAAUGAACAAGAGGCCGAGUCUUCUAAUAAAUUACCCGUUGGGAUAUGAGCUUUGUGUUCCUCAGCUCGUCAUCCUGCAGCUCUAAAACUCUAAAACAGGCUCUCAGCGUUGACUAAUACAUUGUUCCCAUAGUUUAAACUCCUGUCGCUGCCUCCAGGUGGACUGUAGGUGAGCUUUAACUCACUGUGUUAGUUUCAGCACACAGAACUCUCUGCUAGACUUCUUCAAGAUAUCGGAUAAUAUUUUUGUUUCAUAGGAAGAUAUUUGUAAAGGUAACAAGUGUCAAUCCUUUAUGGACCAAUACAACACUAGAUUACUGAAAAGGCUACUGCUGAAGGCCAGGUUUAUAUGUAUGAAAGGUAUUAUAAGGCUUAUAAUUGAGUUGUGCUUCAUGCAGCUCAGUCUGCAGAAAAUCAGCCUCUGCUUUACUUCAGUACAAGUUUAUGAAAUCAGCAACAGGUCAUUUUUUCGGAACUGGAAACAGGAUAAGAUUUUGAAAAAAAAAAAAAAAAACUGUGCAGCUCAGCUGUUAAAACCCCUCUGACAUACAAAGGGCAACAACAGAAAUAAAACUCAAAACAGAUUACUACCACAGAAGACACCUCUGUGGAACGGAAACAAAAUGACAGGUCCUCACAGAGGCUUCUUUAGUUCAUGCUGGACUGGAAACAGAAUUUUUUUUUUUGGUACCAAUUUCUAAACUUUUCUUAAAGUUUCUUUUAUUUGAUUUUAUUUUUUGUUUUUAAUUUUUGAAGUAAAAAACUAAUCUGAUCACUAAAACAGAUCAUCUGGUCAGCCGUGCCACCACAGCAGCAGCAGGAUGGAGAGAGUACACAGAGACAUGUCAGGUGUUGCGCCAUAGAAUGCACCUCUGCUGUAGAAUGCACCCCCUGACGGGAGCGUGGUUGAAAGUACACAACAAGGCGAAAUAAUCCAAGUUUUCCUUACCAUUGGACUGAUUCUAGAGCCAUUAAUUAUUUCACUCAGGCUAUUCAGAUUAAGGGUGUGGAAAAUAAUCUAAAUUAAUCGAUGCAUCGAUGCGCAUGUGCGCGAUGCGACUGCGUCGGCUCAUUCACUGGGUAUCGAUGCAAUUGACGGGUUAAAUCUAGAUUCAUCUAGAUGCGUUGGUGGGUAUCGGUAAAAUCCGAUGCAAGCGCCGUUUUAUUCAUGUUAAACUUCACCAAUCUGCUGUUCCCCAGGCGCAUUGAAUGCACCAUCAUUAUUUCACGUUUUGUAUUGAAUACGGGCGGAAGCCGUGAGGGACAUACAACGCACUACUAGUAAAACAGCAUGGACCACAUUCAAGUGAGCAGCAGCGAGGAAGAGUUUAUAUGUUGUAUUGGAAAGUUCUAAAAAAUGGUGAAAUGAGACUCCAAAUAACGUUGACCAAAGUUUACUGACCUUUUCAGUUUUUGAAAGAUACAAACAUGGUGAAAAAAGGCAAUACAAAAAAAGGGUCGCUUGGUUUCUCAGCGUGUCAGCUAAUCACAUGUCGCUAGCGGCUUCUCCGAAUAUAUUUUUCUUUCUAUCAACUUCACACAGACUGACUAGAACUUCCUGGUGACUCCUUCAAAAUAAAAGCAGCGUAUAGUCUUUCCAAAAUAAACUCAAAUAGUGCAUAUCAAUGCUGAAACAUGCAGUAAACAAUUAUGUUUCUCAAUAUGUUUUUGACUCUAAACAGUGCAAUCUUCUUUUAACUAUAUAAUACUUAUGUAAAGUACUUCCUUUUAAUAAACAUAAAUCACAACAUGCAACAAAUCACAACAUUCUCCCGCCCCAUGAACAAUGUUCAUGAAUACUAAUCUAUGCCUGAAUCAAGUUAGGUUAUUUCCAAAGGAUAGAUCAGUUGCACAGGUCUUCUCAGUAGUGUCCCUGUAGGGGUACGAACUGUGCAUGAGCGUGGCAGUCCAUCUCGCCCUGGAAACAGCUCUUCAAUCCUGCCUGUUUUCCAGAUUUGUCGAGGCAUUUUGUCCUCUCCAAUCAGCACGACGUCUCCCACUUUGAGCUCAGUGGGUUUGGAUGUGUCACACUUAUGCGCUGAUUUCAGAUCCAGUAGAUAGUCCUUGCGCCAGCGGGUCCAGAAGGUGUUUAGGAGUCUCUGGCGGUACUUCCAUCUGCGCCCCAUGUUCUCUCUGCUUAGAUUGGCUGACUGAAUUUCUGGAAUCAUAGCUUUUGGUGGCAGUGAAGUCAGUCUUUUGCCGACCAGAAAAUGAGCGGGUGUCAGGGGUGUGGGCUCAUCUGCAUCGUUGUGCACAUAUGAGAGUGGCCUAGAAUUCAGCACAGCCUCCGCCUCUGUGAGAGUGGUGGUCAACUCCUCGAAGUUCAGUGAGGCCCUCCCUAGGACUGUUUUUAGGCAUGUCUUCACUGACCUCACAAGUCUUUCCCAGAAGCCGCCCCACCAAGCUGCUCUCUCAGCAAUAAACCUCCACGAGAUGCCCUUUUCGGUGAAGAAUGCAGUGAGCUCCGGUUCCUUGAAUGAUUUCCAUAGCUCCUUCAGAUCUUGGUCUGCUCUCUUAAAGGUCUUGGCAUUGUCAGAAUAAAUGACCUUACAUAGCCCACGUCUCGCAAUGCAUCUCUUCAAGGCUAAGAGAAAGUUCUCUGUGGACAUGUCUGAUACAAGCUCUAAAUGCACUGCUCUAGUGACAGCGCAUGUGAACAGUGCAAUGUAUGCCUUCUUUGUCUGGCUGUUUGACUUGACGUACAGCGGGCCAGCGAAAUCAAUGCCCAUGACUUCAAAGGGUGGGGACUCUGUAAUCCUGUCUCUUGGUAAAGGAGCAGUAACUUGCUGAGCUGGUUUCACCUUUAGUCUCUUACAGAUGUGACAGCGUGCCACAAUCUGCUUAACCAGCUGUCUGCUUCUCAAUAUCCAGUAGCUCUCCCUUAUCUGCACUAGAGUAUCCCUGACCCCAGAAUGCAUCACCUUUUCAUGGUAGUUUUGAACUAAGAGCUCAGUGUAUCUGUGUUUUGGGGGCAGCACCCAUGGGUGCUGUUCUCUGAAACUGAACUCCGACUGUUGCAGCCUUCCUCCCACACUGAUAAGGCUGUUCUCAUCAAGGAAUGGUUUCAAGUCCUUGAUUUUUGAAUCCUUGUCAAGUUCUUGUCCCGAUUUCAGUAGAUUUAAUUCUUGGCUGAAACCUUGCUCUUGUGUCACCUUUAUCCAGUACAUUUCAGCUGCAGUGAGCUCCUCUGCAGUGAGCUCUCCAUGGGUCCUUUGGCUUGAGCGGGCAUUGUUCACAAACCUCUUCACCCACGCAGUUAAUCUGAACACUGUUCUCAGUCUACUGUACUUAUCAAGGUCUAACAAUGGUUCAGCUGGAUCAGUGCUAGUAAAUUGUACUGCUACCAUGAACUUAGUCCUAAGCUCAGCAUUUGCCUCCUCAGCAGUACAGUCCUCCUCAGUCUCAAUUGUGUCUGUUGGUUCAGCUGUCAGUGACGUAGCAGGCCCGUUCCACCACAGCUGACUCUGGAUGAGAUUGUCCACACUCUGGCCUCUGGUGGGUAGAUCAGCAGGGUUCCUUUUGCCACUGAUGUGUGACCAUGAUUCUGGGUUCGUCAAAUUUUGAAUUUCAGUCACUCUGUUUUCCACAAAGGGCUUCCAUUUGUGUGCUGUGCUGCGUAUCCAGUGCAAGGCGAUCAUCGAGUCUGUCCACAUCCUGAGCUGAUUCUUUUCCAUCUUCAGGGACUUAAGCAGAUUGUUUCCCAAUCUGGCUCCGAUCAAGGCUCCCAUCAGCUCUAAGCGUGGUAAAGUUAGUUUCUUUAGAGGGGCAACUCUCGACUUUGAUGCUACAAGGCUUGUCACAAUUUCCCCAUCCUGGUUCUUUCCUUGCAUGUAUGCAACAGCACUGAAUGCCUUUUCACUAGCAUCACAGUAGACAUGUAGUUCCAGUGACUGCAUGUUUGGUUGGAUUUCAAUGUGAUACCACCUGGGAAUCGCCACAAGGUGGAGCUGUGGCAGUUCUGAACACCACCGGUUCCAUUCCUUUGCCAAGUCUGGGGGUAACUGGUCAUCCCAACCAAUUCCCCUCUCCCACAGUCGCUGGAAGAGGUGCUUCACCCUAAUGGUGAACGGAGUGAGGAAGCCAAUAGGGUCAAAAAUACGAGCUGACGUUUGCAGCACGCUUCUCUUUGUGUUUUGCUUGUCCUUCAAAAUGUCUAAAAGUCCAUUUAAGUCAAACACAAAGUGAUCUUCCUCUGGUUUCCACACUAGACCUAGCACUUUCAGUACAUUCCCACAAGUGACAGGUUCUGUAGCUUGUUCGAAUCCAUUCGCUGUCCAUUUUGACUUGAGAUCUGGUGAGUUUGUGGCCCAUUUACACAAGUUCAUUCCAGCAGCAGACAGAAUGUUCUUAGCUCCUGUUGUGACUGAAUAGGCCUCCUCCACUUCACAUGAGCUUGAAAUCAGAUCAUCUACAUAUAAAGAUUCUCUAAGUGCCUUUACUGCCUUUGGUUGGGCUGCAUCAUACUGUUGGAUGUGCUUCCUAAUGGUUGCAGCUAGGAGGAAGGGGCUUGGUGAAACUCCAAAUACCACUCUACUCAUUCUCAUGAUGCGCAGCUCAUUGUCACAGUCCUUAGUGGGGGGUCCAUGCAGCCACAAGAACCUGACUGAAUCCUUGUCUUUGUCUGCUAGAGCUAUCUGCAAGAAAGCCUUGGUGAUGUCUGCAGUGAAAGCUAUCUUGUGCAGUCGGAAUUUGAUAAGCACAUCUAACAGAUCAGGGUUUAGGUUUGGCCCAGUUAACAGACAGUCAUUUAGUGAGGGGCUUCCAGCCUCAUGUGAUGAGGCAUCAAACACGACUCUCAGCUUGGUCGUCGCUUUCUCCUCCCGGAGUACAGCAUGAUGAGGUAGGUAAUAUUUCACAGUUUCUGUUGACUCUGCUGCUGAGUCAUUCUCUGAGACAUCCUCACAAAUUCCCUGCUGUAGGUAAUCCUCCAUCACAUUGUUGUACCUUGUGUACAGAGUGGCAUCAGCAACCAGUUUCCUCUUCAGGCUCUCAAAUCUUUUCCUUGCAACUCUGAAGUUGUCUGGUAGAGGUGGGCUGUCCAGUCGCCAUGGUAAUUCAACUUGGUAGCGACCAUCAUUGAAUGUCACUGUCUGCUCAAAGCUCUGAAGAGCCUCCGUAUCAUCUGGGUUUUCAGCUUUGUCAUUUACAAUGCCCAGUGUUUCUAUUUCCCAAAAGGCAUGCAACUGUUUUGAGAUCUGAGUGUCCUCAUCUAGACUGAUGUGCAUGCAGGUUGUGUCUGUUACACUAGACAUUGGGACUGGCCCUUGUACAGUCCAUCCAAAGGUGCUUUCUAAGCCCACAAGUGACUCUGUUAGCCUUUCCACCUUGCCAGUCAUCACUUUCCAGUAAAAGUCAGCUCCAAUUAAGACCAACAGCUCGGGGUCCUCAGCACCAUCUAACUGGAAAUCUGCCAGCUGCAGACCUCUCCUCUUGAAUUCUCCUCUGAUGUGCUCUCCAGGCACUUUCAUAACAGCAGUGCACACUUGAGGGGUCUCAACUGCUGCAAUUUCAAUUCUUUGCUGUGUAUUCCACACAUUCUCCAGCACUACCUUGACAAUGUUGCGCUUUGUUGCCAUGGGACCAGCAGAUCCAAAGGUGUGGAGGUUCAAUGUCUCUUGCUUUAAUACUGGCAGUUUCAGUGUCUUCACCAGGUUCUCAUGUAUAAAGCUUCUUUGACUGCCUCCAUCUAAUAGGCAACGCACUAUUUUUCUACCUGCUGGGCCCUCUGUCCUGGCCUUAACUGUCUGAAGCAGCACUGUGUUGGGUUCAUUAGAUUUUGGUUUCAUUGUGCUAGACACGGAAGAAACCACAGCAUCUGUACUGUUGCUGUUAGCAGCGCCUGGCUGCACUUCUUGAUCACAGACUGACUGGUGGUGUCUGCGACCACACAAGGCACAUGAGACACCUUUGACUUUACAGUAUUUGGCUAUAUGUUUGGGGCCUAGGCACACAUAGCAUCUUCCCAUUUUUUUCAGUUUUUCCUUUCGAGCAGUCUCUGUGGUGUCUGAGCAGUUUUCUGGCUUAUGACUGGGACUGUCACAAUACACACAGGUCUGAGGGGCAUUACUGGCUGUGUGCAAUGCAGCUGCUGAGGGCACAGUUUUGAAUUUAUUCUCAUUGGAUGGCACUUGUUUUGUGAACGGUCUGUGACUUUGGGAAUGGUCCUUUUGGGAGCUGCCUGACCUGGUCAGUUGUAGUGCUCUCUCUCUACUUUGCACUUCAUUUUGCAGGAAUUUAAUUAGCUCAGGCACCUUCCAUUCACCAUCAGUGUCCAACGUGCGUGUGUAGCCUAAUGCCAAGUCAUCUGGUAUCAACUGCAAUAAUACAGGGCAUAGCAGGGCGCCAUAUGUGUCACUGUGAACACCUAGGGACUCUAGGCUGCGAAUCUGUAUUUCACAUUCAUCAUAGAGAAAUCUCAGUGCUACUAUAUCUGAGGAUCUUUUCACAGGUGUCAGGGUUAGCAGUUUUGACAUGUGUGCACUGACCACAAUGUCCUUUCUUCCAAAUCUGUUCUUGAGCAAGUCAAUUGCAUUGUCGUAAUUACUGUCGGUCAAUGUGAGCCCUGCUACCGCUUUUGCUGCUGCUCCACUUAGGUAGGAUUUCAGAUAAGUGAACUUUUCCUUCUUACACAGCGCAUCAUUGGAGUGGAUAGCAGUGUCAUAUUGACUCCAGUGGCCACUGGCUUAUUUCUCCAUUAAACCUUUCAAUCACUAACCUGGGCAGUUUAACAGUUUGUCUCGCCAAGGAGUUAUCCGGGCCUGCACUUCCCGCACUAGUGCGCCUACUCACGUACUCCUCCCGGGCACCAGGGCUUCUCUGGAUCAGUAUGCUUGCUCGUGUUUUCCAUGAAAUAAUGCGAUCCUGAUAUUCCUGUGAGGACUCUAAUUCAGAGUCUAAUUCCUCCGUCACAGUUUUCUCUUCAAUGCCUCUGUCCAGUUCCGUUAAUUGUCCCUCCUUGAUCGUUAAUAAUGACAGCAUUUCACGCAGCGAGUCAUAGUCCCUUUCGUUUUCCCCUUUGUUUGUUUCCUCUUCCAUACGAGCCAGUAACUUUGAUACUGAAGAACGGACUGCUCUUCUCUUCUUCUUCAUACGUUCCAUGGCGUCGGACAUUUCGUUCGUUACUUCCAAUUCAAAACAUCAAAAAAAGUCUCUGAGAUCCCGGGUUUCGGCACCAAAAUGUAUUGGAAAGUUCUAAAAAAUGGUGAAAUGAGACUCCAAAUAACGUUGACCAAAGUUUACUGACCUUUUCAGUUUUUGAAAGAUACAAACAUGGUGAAAAAAGGCAAUACAAAAAAAGGGUCGCUUGGUUUCUCAGCGUGUCAGCUAAUCACAUGUCACUAGCGGCUUCUCCGAAUAUAUUUUUCUUUCUAUCAACUUCACACAGACUGACUAGAACUUCCUGGUGACUCCUUCAAAAUAAAAGCAGCGUAUAGUCUUUCCAAAAUAAACUCAAAUAGUGCAUAUCAAUGCUGAAACAUGCAGUAAACAAUUAUGUUUCUCAAUAUGUUUUUGACUCUAAACAGUGCAAUCUUCUUUUAACUAUAUAAUACUUAUGUAAAGUACUUCCUUUUAAUAAACAUAAAUCACAACAUGCAACAAAUCACAACAUAUGUAAUGCACUCGCUACGUUUAAAUCACAUGUUUGGAAACACUACGGAUUUGCAAAGAAAGACGGAAAGCUCGACAAAACGUCCGUCAUUUGCAAAGAAUGCCGCGUUAAGAAGCCGUACAACGGCAGCACGACAUGCAGACCCACUUAAAAAGAGUACACCACAUCACCGACAAGUCUAACGCCACCUCCCCUCCCUUAACAUUGAUUGCACUGUUGAAAGUGUCACUUUAGGUUACUCAUUGAGAGUGUUUUGUUGUUGCUGACUGUACUUUUUACAGCAGUAAUUAUUGUGUAAUUGUUUUACUCUUUUAUUAUUGCAGAACUCACUCAAAUCACUGAUUUUCAGUGGCCAGUUAGAAAGUCAACUCUAGCACAUCGGUUUGGCAGACAGUAGUAUGGCCAUUGAAUGGUCUAUUUGCACCAUGUUAGGCAGUGCAUUAGUUGUUUAAUAAUGUGUACUGUAAUAUUACCCAACAAGUAUAGAGCACUUGUGUGAUGUAGGGUUGGGAUUGGAAUCCUUUUUUUAUUUUUUAUUUUUUUAUUUUAUUGAUUCAGAUUCCUUAACAGUUGCAUGAGGUCUGUCUAAUCUGUGUAACUGUACAAAAUGGAACCCAAAGGAGCAUAGAAAAAAGACAAAAAGCACUUUUGUUGAAUUAACCGCUAAGUGCCUUUAAGGAAUAAAGCCAAAUCAUUUUUGUAGUACCAUACUGAAUUCCAUCUUUUAUUUUUAUUUCUUUUUUUUCUUUGCUUAUUUGCAUCAUGUUGAAUUGCAUCAUAUCGCAACAAAUUGCAUCAUGUCGUAUCGGAUCGCAUUGAUUUGAACUAAAUGAUUAUCGUAUCGUAUCGCAUCGUGAAGAGGGUGAAUCGUAUCGCAUCGUAUCGCCAGAAAAUUCCAUGUAUCGUUAAAGUAUCGUAUUGCUGGCAGUGCAUCGAGAUGCGUAUCGAAUAUGAGAUUCACACCCCUAAUUCAGAUAUGCCGAAAACAAUAGCCCUCUGAUACGGAAUAUUUGCUGCCCCGAAAAUAUAAUGUUCUCUACCUUAACAGUUUAAUGUACAGUUUAUAUACCCAAGUACACCUCUGUAUGUGCAUUUUUUAAACACCUAAAAACAGAACGAAAGUUUGCUGCUCCAUUUGACAUGUUGUCAUGAUCCAAUACGUGUUUUUUUUUUUUUUAUGUUUUUUUUUUUUUUUAAUGUAAGAUCAUUUUCUUCCAGUUUAAGAAGCUAAUGAGUGGAUGGGAUGCAGGGGAUGCAUUCUAUGGCAGGUGCAUUCUACGACACAACACCUAUCGAGCUGCGCGAGGAAGAAGAAGGAUAAGCGGGGAGACGAAUUAAAUAUCUUGUUAACCUUAUCAUGUGUGACUGUUUACUGGAUAUUUAAUUUAAUGCUGUUUUAGCUGUGUUAAUUCGGUCAGGUGGCGUGUCCAAACACAUGCCAAACGCGCUCAUCAGAUCAGAUAUAGAUCAGAAUAUAUUGAUAUAGAUCUAAAUGUUUGUGCUGACUCAGAUUAUUAGUUGUUGAGGAUUAAUUAUUGCACUGAAAUGUGCCUGACUCUGUGGAAACCUGCCGGUGAGGCAUCAGUGACAUAUGCGUACUACAUGCCGCUGGUCUACCAAAAUACCACUAGACCAGCUGCGCUCUGCCUGCGCUGAAAGCUGACCAGGUUUGAAUCGGCAAGCUUUCAGCGUACUUGUCACACCCCUGGCGAGCACGAAAAUGUCACUGCACCAGUUGAUUCUUGGUAGGGGAACCCCUCCCCCUACCUUGCAUUCACGUCCAGCUUGGCGGACCUCUGCAUGCCUCAGUCUACGAAAAUAACAAACUGGCUGUGUGCUGGGCACCGCCAGACAAAAAUACCACUGCGCGUCGACCAUGGCUACGAUAUAUAGCCCAUUGUCUUUAUUUGGACACAAAAAUUAGUUCAUAAACUGAGCUGAAUAAUUUUGGAAAAUAAUCUAAUUGGGAUUUUUUUUUCCUUAAUAUUGCGAUUUAAUAUGCAAUUAUCUUUUCAAGGUCCUCUUUUAAUGUUUUUUUCAACCAACACAAACAAUAAAUCAAUCUGUAUUUUAUUUGCUUGAAGACUUAAAAACAGGCAAAUGGACUGUGUAGUUGAGAAGACAUCUUCUCAACUCUAAACAGUCCAGUUGCCUGUUUUUAAGUCUUCAAGAAAACCAUGACCUGGAUGAAUGAGAAUCUACAUGGACAAAUCUGUAUUAUAGUAAAUAAUAUCUGAUUUAUUAUACAUGAAUUGUUCUUUCUGGCAAUUACUAUUUAGCACACACACACUCAGGCUCUCUCUGCUCACACACUGUCGCGCACACACAUGCACGUGCCCUCAUAUACAUCAUGAUACUAAUCUACACACCAAUGGCGAGAUGUAAUCGGUGGUCGAAACACUGGAGUCUGGUCUUUUCAUUCAGCUGUGCUGCCAUCACUGUAUUGGAUGUGUUUUCCAUCGUUAUGCAGAUGUGGUUUGAAGUCGAAGCACUGGUUGCUGGUGUUUUAGCUAUUUAACUCUCUUACAUGGCUUUGUUGGCACGGCAGGUUCUGCACACAUUGCGCAGCAGCAUCUUUUUUUGCCAAAGUAAAUCCACACAACUGCCGCGCUGCUCCUCUUUGGAACUAAACUUUCUGCAGUGUCAGCUUCUGAAGCAGAAUUAGCCCAUAGUGCCACAGAGUCCAGAGCUGACUUCUCUGUCUACCUGCUCUGCUUCGCUGCACUUGCAAGUCGCGUGACCAGUCCAAGUCACAGCCUUUUUGGUUAAAAAAUCGUGUAUUAUCAUAUCGCGAUGUAAUCGCAAAUGCAAUUAAUCAUUCUGCGAUCAUGUUCUUUCAGUCACUACCCACAGCUCAUGACCAUAGGUGAGGGUAGGAAUGUAGAUCGACCGGUAUAUGGAGAGCUUUGCCUUCUGACUCAACUCCUUCUUCACCAUGAAAGACUUGUGCAGCAUCUGCAUCACUGCUAAUACUGCACCAAUUCGCCUGUCAAUCUCCCGCUCUAUUCUUCCCUCACUUGUAAAUAAGACCCUAAGAUACUUGAACUCCUCAACUUGAAGCAGGAUCUCAUCUAUCUUGGAGAAGGCGCUCCCCCUUUUUUCAAGCUGAGAACUAUGGACUCAGAUUUGGAAGUGCUGAUUGUCAUCCUAACCACUUUACACUUGGUUGUAAACUGAUCCACUGAGAGCUGAAGGUCAUGGCCAACGAAGCAAAGAGGACCACAUCAUCUGCAAAAAGUAGUGACCCAAUCCUGAAACUGCCAAACCGGACCUCCUCAAUGCCCUGGCUGCGCCUAGAUAUGGAUGGAUGGUCGGCUCGCCAUCAUCCCACUGACGGUUUUAACAUUACAUAACAUGUGGAAGAGCAGGGAGGUCUCCGAACAGAGCCAUACCACCAAAUAUAAUGAAUGCAUGCAAGUAAUCCUUUUUUUAUGAAAGUGGUCCUGACUGAAAUAAACUGUCCUCAACAAAACAUCUGGUAAACAAAUUACUCAGCUUGAAAACAGAUUCUGGAGAGAGUGCAUCAACGGAAAUCCUUGUUUCUUUGUGAAUUAUCAGGUCAUUGUAACAUUUUGUGGCAGUUUGGUUUCUCUGCAAUGUUUCACCAAAUUACUUUCACCAAUCGUUUUUGCUCCAGAACGAGUAGGCUGAAGUAAAAUUACAUUUUAAAAUGUCUUUGGCUCAGUUAAUGUUUCACUGCAUCUCCUGCGAUGUUUAGUUUUCAGUCAUGUUCAUGGCAGAAUCAGUAAAUUACUCAGUGUGCUACUCUUGCUGAUAUCUUUGUAUCAAGUUGAAAUAGUUAAAGCGAGUGAGGCAAUUUGAAAAUCCAUGUGAAAAAAAUCAGAAAUUGAAAAUCAGCCUUAACACAGUGACUCGUAUCACCGUGAGGUCCUUAUAAAAGGUGUAGACAGCUCUCCAGUCACCAAGAACAGAAAUUCACUCCUUCAGGCUCUGACUCUUCACAGAUGGGGGUCCACGGAGCCCACUGUGAGCCCACUGAGAGCCUGUUUGAAGCUCCAUGACAUCCUCCAGAUCCUGCCGGCGAACAUCUGUACCAGCUAACGUUUCAUCUGCUCUCAGCUAAAUGACAGACAAAUGUUGGUUCAGUCAGCUGGUCUGUGGAAGAAAGAGCUGAUGAGGAUGGAUAAGGUCCUGAUGUUGUAAGGAGAGAACAUGAAAAAAAGAAAGGAAAAAAAUGACUUCUCAUCUCUCUCUGGCUCUUUAUCUCUCCGUCUCUCCCUCUCUCCCACCUCCAGUCCGUCGCUCUCUCUGUGAUCAUUAGCAGGUUUUAAUUAAAGACUAGAGGAUUAUUCUAGUGGCCUGCAGUCUUUCACCUCCUCUCAUCAUCAUUCCCACUCCCUCACUCCCUUUUUCCCCUUGCUCUGUGAGUCUUCAGGUUGUGGGUGUGUGUUACUGAGAGACUGUGUGAGUGUGCAUGUCAGGGAGCAGCGUUUGUUGAAGAGUGGUGAUCAAAGCCUUCCACCUCCAGUGCCACGGAUCUCUUCCUUUCUCUCUGUCGGCAGCAGAUGUCUUAAGUCUCUUCUCGCUGAGGAGUUCUGUGAAUCAGUAUCAAUAUUUAACACAAGAGAGGGUUUGUUCAAAUGCUCAUUUCCCAGCUCCAACUUACCAAAGAGACUUUAUUCAAACAAACUCUAAGUGCUCUCUGAUUUAUUAUUCUCUGUAUUUUUGCUGCUUUGUAACAUACAGUGUCUUGCAUAAGUAUCCAUCUCCCCCCAAUUUUUAUAUCAGUGUAACUUUUUUUUUCUUUGUACAGAAAACUUGAGGAGUGUUGAGAUCCUAUCUGAAAACACCCUGUUGGAGCCUGCAGGUGGAUGAUGAUUGGGGAUUCUGCCUGAAGUAGCUCUCAGGUAUUGCUCCAUAACACGUUCAUUUUGGAGUCAAGGAUCCAUAGCGCCUAUCCUCUCUGUCAGUCUGGGACACCUAUAGAGCAUCUUUGUAUGUUUUGCAGCUCUAAAUACUUCCUGUAUAUCUCAGAGGUCACUGUGUAGAAUGAGGGUAUUUAGCAACAUCUCAACCUCUCCCGUCACCAAAGCAACAGCGGCCGUUGUACCCCAAGAGCAAUUUUCACAAUAAAGAUGGCUUCAUCCACAACAGACACAAGGAACUCAACUGUUCAAGGGAUGAGGUGGGAAUGUUCAUUCAGUGUAUUUACAUUAGUUUAGUUUCAAUUUGAACUCAUUUAAACCAUACACUGUAUAUACUACAGACAAAUUGGUUCCGCCUUCUGUCAUUAUACGAAUUUGAAAAGCUCUCUUUAUUUCCAGGAUUUUCUCCACCUCCUGGAACCACCACUUGCAUUCUGUAUACAGUCUAUGAUUAUUAAUUAUUAAUUAAUUGAUGAUGAAUGUUUAUUUUUUUUUUUUUACUCCAUCCAUUCCUAACAAAAUUAACAAGUGGAAAGUGUCGUCACUCACAAGCUCACACUCCCUCUGCAUUCAAAGCCUUCUGAUUGAACCUAAACUGGUGUAUCCUUAGCAGAAGUCUUGAAUUAAUUGACAUGAUGUAGUUCAUAAAUGUCUGAAUGGCUAAAGCAGCUGUACAGGAGGGUUUGAAUAAUUGCGUUGAAGGUGUAUAAAAGCUUCACACAGAGACUGCCAGUGGUGCGACUGAUCCCAACAGCACACACACUGCAGGGAGUGGACACACAGUCCUGUUCAAACACAUCACAGCUUCUUAUGUUUAGUGACAGACGUUGACUUAACUGCACCCUCAGACUUUCCAGAUCAAAUUCAGACUUGAUUUUUAAUUUUAUAGAAUUUUAUUACCCUGUUGAACAUAAUGAUGACUUAGUUUGUGUGUCUCCGAGACUAACAAAUACACAAAUAGUGAGGAAGAAAGAGAGACAUCCACCAGUACAUCUCUGCUGGUAAUGCACUGAGUUAAGUGUGAUGUCUCAUGAGUAACACAGACCUACUUAUAACAUGUUUUUGAUGCAAAUGCACUCUCUUAGUUUAAAACUGAUUCAGUGAGUGAACAGUCACUGCAUUGUGAGCACAUUAUAGCCAUUUGUGAGCUAAGCAUGAGACUAAGUGAAAGAAUUGCUUCUUCAAUUAAUAUGUCAGUGUUACAGCAGAGCAGACAGAGUUUUCUUAGUGGGAUUGUCUCCAUUAUUUAAGUUUUUUAGCAAAAUGGACGAGCACAACAUUGCAGUAAAGUGUCUGGAGGGCAAAAGCUUGUGCUGAGGCUAUCUUCAGGUGAGUGUAAUGCUGUUUCUUUGAAGGAAGUCAUUAUGUAGUGGAAAGAGGCCUAGAAUGUAAACAAUGGAGUCUCCAUCCUUCACACCAUUUUGACAAUACACCAGACAUACAUGUGUAACAAGUCAGGGGUUUAAAUGUUUUUUGUUGUCUAAAACAUGAUGAUACAUCUAAAGGGGGUAAUCCUGAAAUGGUAAAUUUCUGUGACAACUGCAGGAUUUUAUCUUAAAUUUUUGUCAGUAUACUAUUAUUGGACUACUCAUACAAGCAACUUCACCCAAGUCUGAUCAUGUGUCCUCAGGAGUGCUUCACAUUGGAGUUCAUAUGUCAGCAAAAACAUACAAGAGGAGCUGACAAAACGAGCAAGAGGACAUGUUCACCUUCCUCUUGGUAUUCUCAACAUUAACUGAAGGUAAUAGGAAUGGAGACAAGAGCUGGGCACACUUCUGUUGAUCUGUUCAUGGUUAGUUACCACCACUCCUUCAUCCACCUAUCCAUCCAUCCAUCCAUCCAUCCACCUGUCCAUGAACACCUCAUCAACGAGGCAUCAGGGAGGCAUCCUGAUUAGAUGCCCAAGCCACCUCAACCAACUCCUCUUAAGGUGGAAGAGCAGCAGCUCUACUCUGAGCCCCUCCUGUAUGACCAAGCUUCUCACCAUCUAUCUCUAAGGGAGAGCCCAGCCUCCCUGAGGAGGGUAGUUAUUUCACCCUCUUGUACUCACAAUCUUAUUUUUUCAGUCACUACCCACAACCAUAGGUGACCAUAGGUGAGGGUAGGAAUGUAGAUUGACCGAUAUAUUGUUAGCUUUGCCUUUCAGCUCAGCUCCCUCUUCACCACAAUAGACCUAUGCAGUGCCCGCAUCACUGCUGCAUCACCAAUUUGCCUGUCAAUCUCUCACUCCAUUCUUCCCUCACUCAUGAACAAGACCACUUGAACUCUUCAACCUAGUGCAGGAUCUCAUCCCUGACCCAGAGAGGGCACUCCUCCUUUUUCCAGCUGAGAACCAUGGACUCAGAUGUGGAGGUGCUGAUUCUUAUCCCCAGGCAUGAAAAUGGGUCAGGGGUUAAAAAGGUGAGAAGGGUGCGAAGGAAAUACGUUCCGGUACACUGUACAACCCAACAAAAUAUUGAGCUCUGUCCACCCGCACUGUGUUUCAGUGAUCUGCAGGAGGCGCCAAAAACACUCCAAGUCUCACACACACACACACACACACACACACACACACACACACACACACACACACACACACACACACACACACACACACACACACACACACACACACACGCGCAUGUUGUGCUGGCCAUGCUUUAUUUAGAAACAAAGUUUACUUUCACAGAAGCUAAAUGAGUUAGAUGAGUCAGAGAGAGGUGUUCAAAACUUUUUGUACAAGGCCAUAUGAAAAAAAGAGAAAAAAAAAAACAGAAUAAAAAAAAUAAAGACUUUACAUCCUGCACUUUAGAUCAAUGUAUGCCCUUGCAGACUGGAGAACAAUACAUGCAAUUCAAAUACCAAGUCCAAUUGAUCACUUUUUCUUUUUUCUUUUUGCCUGGGCCACCAGAGUCUCCAUGGUCUUUUACGCUGAGUGGCCACAUGCCUCAGCCUUGCCUGCUUCUCACUUUCAGCAGCCUGCUUCUUUGCCUGCUGAGCACUCCCAGUUUCUUGACAGCCAUAUAAAAAUAAUAGCAACAUAGCGAUUUACACAACAGCUUUAGUAGCUUUUGGUCUAAACAAACGGCAAGCCUUUCGUGACACACUCUUCCCUGUUGUCUUCUCUCACGCUAAUGUCGCGCUGAAAAAAAUUGACGCCCCGUCUUGUCAAUGGAUGGAGCCAGAGCAGUAAACGCGAGACGCCCGCUUUCGCUAUUUUAGAUGGCUCAAAACCAUUACGUUUUAAUGAAUUAAUAAAUAACAUCAGCAGCGAAAAGGAGUGUAAAAAAGACCAGGGUUCUUUUAUUUUUGUUUUUAUCACAAAAGGCUUCAAGCAUGGGCCAAAGCAUAGGACAACAAGUUCUAGAAUUUACCACUUCACCUUCAGCCUUUUCAGCCCCUCACCUGAAUAUUAUCCUCACACGUCCCCGAAAUACCAAUUACAGAGAUAUUAGAAAGAAGCUUGUGUUUCUUCUUUUAUGUUAACUACACAAGCUUGAUGCUUACUUAAUAUCUAGCAAACAGAAGUUAUUUUUUCACCUGAGAUUUGGCUAGCUCUGGCAGUGUUCAACGCAAGCUGUAGUGAACGGCAGAAUGCACCCCUGCAUCCCAUCCACUCAUUAGCUUCUUAAAGUGGAAGAAAAUGAGCUCAUAUUUUAAAAACACACGAGUAUUUGGAUCAUGACUACUAGCAAACUUUCGUUCUGUUUUAAUGUGUCUCAAAAAUGCACAUAUCGAGGUGUACUUGGUUAUAUAAACUGUACAGUAAGAUGUCAAGGUAGAGAACAUUAUACUUUCGGGACAGCAAAUAUUCUGAAUCAGAGGGCUAUUGUUUUCGGCUUAUCUGAAUAACCUGAAUGAAAUCAUUAAACGCUUUUGAAUCCAUCCAACGGUAAGGAAAACUUGGAUUAUUUCGCCUUGUUGUGUACUUUCAACCGCGCUCUCGUCAGGGGGGGCAUUCUACGGCACAACACUGGCGUUCUCGCAGCUUUGCAAUGCUACCACAGGCUCUCCAAGCACUCCAAGUACACGUGAAGAGUGUGCACAUGAUUGUAAUAAUGGAACGCAGUUUGGCCUAUGAUUGGUUCUCGUCAACGAAGCAGCCAUCUGACCGUCCAAGUGUCAUUUAAAGGGCCGAUUUCUUAAGUGCUCCGUUUGCGUAUUAAGUCAAUCACAUGAUAAUUUAAAAAAAAAAAUCUCCCAACUCCAACCCCCUCAAAAAAAAAUUUCUCCUCGGAACUACACGAUUCAUGUAGGUCACCCUUUUUGACUUCAGAACGGCAAAUUUCGCCAAAAGGUGAGAGAUUUUCAUGCCUGCAUCCCAGCCGCUUCACACUCAGUUGUAAACUGAUCCAAUGAAAGCUGAAGGUCACAUCCUGAUGAAGCCAACAGAACCACAUCAUCUGUAAAAAGCAGUGAUCCAAUCCUGGAACAACUAAACUGGACCCCCUCAAUGCCCUGGCUGUACCUAAAAAUUGGGUCUAUGAAUGAAUCAGUUAAUUACUUGUUAUUGAAGCCAGCAUUGUUAACACACUGACAAUUAACAGUUUUUUUUUAAGGAACUGUGCCGAUCCCGGGCUAAUCCCCACCUGCACACUUUGAACAAUGUCUUUGAGAUCAGUGUUAUCAUUUCUCAUUUUUUGUUCUAUUUCUGACUGAAAGGAUAAUACGGACAUGGGUUUUGUGUCUGUGUUGGUAUGCACACAGGAGUUUCAUGUCUUCACACAUGGUUGAGCCAGACCCUCACACACCUCCAUGGCCAGGAGGUGUUUGUUUCUUUUUAAAUGGGCGACGCGCCAUAUGUGUGGUCAUUAGUCUAAAGAGCGUCCUUCAGCCGCACCAGAGGACAACGUGUCAAUGAGUAGAUUAACUAGCCACUGCUGUUCUCCGCUUUACUAAAAGACCUUGAAUUAUAACAACUUUCACUUUGUUUCUCUCCCAUCAAUUUUACGGGAAAUAUCGCACUGAUCACAAAAGCCAUGACGGAUGUGUGGCUUAAGGGGAAAACACCGCGGCAUUUGUUUUGAACAUGCACAAAAGGAAAAUAACAGACGGUCAUGUGGUGACGUGUCGUCACUAUGAAGAGAGGAAAUAAUUGGAAAUGGAGUUUGUAAAGCGCACAAUCAGUUUGUGUGUUUGCCUCAACUCAGGUUGAGUCUUAACACAGACUCCAGAACUGCUCUUUGCUCCAAUGAAGGUUUUUAACCUCUAUUAGUCUGAGGCUUAGCUGACACUGGGUCCUACUCUUGAUACUGUAAAUUGCCAAUUUGAAACCCUAUGUUUGCCUGAGACCCCUUUGUGUCCAUUAAAGGUGAGUCACUGGUUCAAUGCUUCAUCUUUGACACACACGGAUUCAGAGCCCUGCAAACACACAGAGGAGGCCAGUCAUACUUUUUAUACAAUGAAUAAAGCUACAAACAACAAAUGCUCAUACAAGGAACAAAGACAGGAGCUCAUGUUGUGUCAGGUGUUUAAAGGUGGAUAUACAAGAUCAUACAUUAAUAUCAUCUUUCUUUAUUCUGCCUUUUUGGCUUUCAGCCAUCAGCGAGGUCUGCUGUCUGCCGUCUCUUCAUUUUGUGUAGAUUUCAACACCAAUCUGCUGAAUUUCCCUCUACAGUUGUUCUUGGAAAGAAAAUCUAAAUCUAAGUUUUCAAGGGCUUUUGAUUUUUUUUAUUGAAAUCCAAAAUCUGUCUUAAUAUCAGCCUCAGCCUUUAAUGUUUUGGAGUUAUUUUAUAAUGUCUGGGACUCUCUGUGAUAAAAUAACUUUUUUUUUUAUUUUCAUUCAACAUAAACUGUUUUAUGUUAUACAAUCUUUAGUAGUUAAAGGCUAAAAAUUAGUAGUGAAAGGCUCUAUCAAUAGAUUUUACUUAGAAAGUCAUACACCACUAUUACCGCUGAGAAUAAACCAAAGUAAUGCUACAAUGAGUGCCCUAAAGAUGGGCCUCUCUGUCUCUGUGAUAUUUGUGGUUUUACAACUGUGACUUUUUUCAAACUGCAGCAUACCAUGAAACCUAUAAGGCCGAUGCCUGAGUGUGGUGUUGAGUAUUUUACUGAUGUGCAUUUUUUCCAAAAUGUUGAUGAUAAGGCUCUUGUCUCAUCACUGUUAGUUAGCCCACUACUCAUUUUGCUAACUGGCCAGCAUAAGUCUGCAUCUUGGAGUCAGCUUUCCAAAGUUUGACCAGUGGGGGGUGGGGGGGUGGGGGGGGGGGGGGGGGGGGGGGGCAUUUGCUGCAGAAGGUAGAGGAGGCUGUGAUGUACCAAUGUCAGGGCAGAGCUGUGAUAGUGUGCUUUGGCCCACUUUAAAAUACUGCUGUGUGAACACAAAAAAAGUCCAAAAGGAAAAAUAUAACAGUGGAUCAUUUUAUCAUCUGAAGAGCAAAGCAAACAAGCUUCAUAUAUGAAAUCACACAUCUGAAAAUCAUCCAGUGUUUGCACAAGUGUAAAACUGAUUUUUUUUUUUUCCUCCAAGAGCACACUUACACUCAAACUGUCUUACGUAAACACCCAAUAACAGAAAAUACACACUUGUUUAUCAACCCACACUUCUGCUCUGUCUCUCUCUCACACACACACACACACACACACACACACACACACACACACACACACAGGAUGUGGUGUCUAGCAGACACUGGGCCUUACCUGGGCCCUGCUCGCCCUGGGCCUGUCACUGCGUAUGGACCCGGCCAUUUAUCAUGUAAUCUGGAGUGGAGAAUGGACGGGGCACUAUCAGCAAUCUGCUAUUGAUCUACGCCUGGGGCCCCAGCUAUUGUUCAUCUGUAGCCCUGGACUGGCACCCAGCAUUAAUGAAAGAAACUAAACAAUGCAUAGCAAUCAGACACCCCCCAAAUCACCCAUCCUCCUCCCUCCCUCCCUCUCUCCGUCAUGAGGAAAAGGACAGGAGCGGGUGGAGGGUUAAAGAAGGGAAACAGCCGCAAAAGAGAGAGAAAAGUUUUUCCCUCUACAGAAGCAAACUUUUGUUAUUAUGUUUCUCUUUGAGAAGGUGUGAGCAGGGAGAGAAAAACACAUUUAUCAUGUCAGAGAUGGCUCAUAUCAGCCCUGACCCUCAGCACCAGAUGAAGCAGUUGAUAUUGAAGUCUCCUAUUGAAUAAUGCUCAACGCCAUCCUCUGACUAGGAAAUAGAGACAUAUGGUAAAUCAGUACGAAUGAGAGAGCCAGUGAACAUGGAAACAUGACUUUUUUGCAUGUUUUCUGUGUGAAUAUUGACAGAGGGAACAGAUGAAUGGGAUCAUUUAGCUUGAGCUGCAGAGUUUGAAUAAAUGGAUUUUGCCAAUUCUAUCCAAACCGUAAUUACUACUUUAUUUCUAGAGGACUCUUGUAGCCCCGCAGACAAAUAUGAUUUCUCUGCUGUCUGGAAAAAAGCCUUACUGUCCAUCUGCAGCUCUUUAAAUCUCCAAACUGUCAUUGAAGAGUUAAUGCUUGUGCCCCUUUAAGACUUACAAAUUAUUCGUAUGUAUCCUUAUUUUUAACAACAUCAGUGUGUUUAUCGGAAUUCCUUUGGACAAACUCAGUUGAAAACACAUGCAGAGACUCAGCACGUCAGGCAUCCUUUCUAAGCAAAAAAAAAGUUGCACUUGCUGUGGACCAAUCAGAGUCCAGUGAGUGUGAAUCUGGGCCAUUUACCAGAGCUCUUGUUUCCAGGUAGAGGAAGAAACACUGAUUUAUCUCUGCAUGCUCCUUUUGUCAAGUUGUAAGAGAAAGUAUGUCAGAUACAGCAGCUCAGAACCCUCAGGAUUUAGAGAUUCAUCUGUCCCUCCCAUCAUGAAGAGCAACAUAUGGCCUGAAUAUACUAAAAAACAGAAAUAGAUCAUUAAAAGCAUGUCUGAAGACAGUUCAAAGAGGCCUUUACUACAUAUUUCUCAAUCAGCCACAUGUUUUAAUGCUCUUCUCUCUCACGGUUUAGGCUGCUUUUCAUCAUAACUUUCUGUUUCCUUUUUUCUCAUAAACAUUUCAAAGUCAGCAGACAUCAUUAAGCAAAAUUUAACCACAUUUAGAUCAAAAUCAGACAACCAAUUGUGCCUUUGCUACACAGUACAGCUGGUUUAAAGUUUACAUUUUCUUUGACGCUUGUUUUUUUUUAUUUAUUCAUGUAAUUAUUUGUCUAUUUUUGCUUCCUAAAAUGUUUGAGUUAGAACAACUGCACUGCCAGAAGAGAAUUAAGUAAGACAACAUUUGCCACAUUAAAGAUCUCAGUUUCAAUCUAGCAACAGUAAAUAGCAGUUUAAUUAUACUAAAGGUACGUCACAUGUUGUAAAUGCAGUUCGCCCUUUUUGCCAACAUGUUUCUAAGUUGAUGCACCACGAUGAUCAUUGUCAUAAUUGUCACGUGGCAGAGUUGAACAAAAGAGAGACAAAAAAAAAAAGGAUUUAGUAAAAGGAACAAAAUAAAAAGCAACAGAGACUUACUUAAAAAAAAAAAAAACACCAGGAGAUGAAGGAUCCAUGUCUAAAAGAUCACAGGGAACAGGCAGACAUGCACACACAUCAAAAUACAAUAAACCAACAAGGACAGAGGGGAAGACAGGGGCUGUGUCUCAUUUCAGAGACCGCACCCUCAAACGGCGCCUUUGAAGUGUGCGUGAUGUCAUCACGUGGCGCGAACGGUGUCCCAUUUGGCUCAAAAUGCUGAGCACGCUUCAAAUUCAGUCUCAAAACCACACUACCUCCGCCCCUUUUUCAUGGCCUUGGUAUCCCAGAAUUCUUUGCGUGUCGCUGUACAGCUGCGCAUUUCAAGUGAGAGGCCACACUCGCUUGGACUUAAGUGGACUUUAGCGCGCUCAGCCUGAUGCGGUCUCUGAAAUGAGACACAGCCAGGGGCUGUGUCCGAAAUGGCCUACUACUCCUACUACUCCUACUAACCCCGCCUCUGAAUUGAGUAGGCAGUGCGUUCACACUGUACAGUAUGCGAAUUUUGUGUAUGCGAGAAAUGCCCGGAUGUAUACUCAAUCGGCUUCGAUUUCUGAGUGUGCAACGGAGCUUGCUUCACGUACUGCUUCUGCCCCACAAUGCAUUGCGCACCUCAGCUGGUAAUAUGGCCCUCCUUCCCGAGGCUGAAAAGAAAUAGAUGGCAUGUGAUUGCAAUAAUAAUGAUAUAUAUAUAAAUAGAUAAACAAUAUUUAGUCCGUAUACAUUACACAAUUUUCAUCAUUUUAUCAUAUUUUGAUCUUUUUACCGGAUUUAUUUGUAUUUUAAAUUAGGAUUAUAGGCAAUGUUUUUAACUAUUCGUAUGAAUUGACUUUAUUUAUUUAAGUGUCUAUUAAAGAUGUAUUUAUUACAUCAAGUUUGAGCAUCUUCUCAUCUCUGAAUGCAUCAUCAAAGUGGUCGCUCAUAUUAAGCACAGACCUCUGAUUAAUAAAAAUUAUCUUUGGUAGAGAGCACAUGGUUCAGAAUAUACAAACGGGGGAGUUUCCAGUUGACAAUCUCUGUGAGCUUUACUAAUUCUUACUUGUGGUUGAAAAUCUGAUGGUUUCUGAAAUUAUCAUUGUACAUGAAAAGAAUGUAGUCGGGAAAUGAUGUAUUUGCCAAGGAAUAACCGAACAAGGUCAUAAUAAUUAUGUUGUGUGUUGGUCAUUUUGCAGCCCUCUGCUGCUCAUCACACGGCCAGCAGGUGGUGUAUAGCAUUAUCACCAUGGAUACACGGAUGUUUGGGUAAUUUUUUCAUCCACUGCCGCCCGGUUUGUGUCGUGUAGAUGUUGAUUAUGAAAACACUUCGCAAUAAUUUGGAAACGUGAAGGGGGGGCUGCUGACGCAAACACCGACCAAGUGGACGCUUCGGUCUCCGAAAACGCCGAGACAAAUUUACAAACAGCCACUAUUUCAAACAACUGGGCUCAUAAUCGUGAUGUAAACACUUACUUUCUCGCUAGAAAAAAAUAUUAUUAUUGAAUUAAUUUAUAUAAUUUGUCCGGGAUGCAGUCGUUCUGUGUAGCUUGUGGUAGGACUAUUUAAAUUUUCCCGGCGCUGCGUCCGGCCGGCACGAAAUGCAUUCUGGGGUAUUUAGUAUGUAUGUGUGUAAACGCUCGGGCAGCCGCGGCAUACUCAAAUCCUCUUUGAGUAGUCAGUAGGCAGUAGCUACUGCUUGAGUAGGUAAGUAGAUAGUAGGCAGUAUGCCAUUUCGGACACAGCCAGGGACUACAUACACACUGGGAAAUGAGCAACAGGUGAGGCAGACGAGGCACAGGUGAAACUCAUGGGUGAUUAACGAAGGAGGGAAAACUAGGGAAGUAAAACCAGACUAGAAACACAAGAAAUUAACUACUUCAAAAUAAAACAGGAAACACUGAGAACUGAUAUAAAGAAUAAAACACAGAGAACAGAAGGGAAACGGUGAAAUACACACUGAAAACUUACAAGACAAGACUACAGAAACAAUAGGGAACAAAAACACUAGGGAAAAAACACACAAAAAAUACACUCACAUAGCAAAACCAGGGAAAAACUAAAUUAACAGAACAUAUCAUGAAUAUUAAUGACUGUUUCCAGUACUUCUGUGACUAUCUCAUAAUCCACAGAGUGCCUGCUCAGCUGUCCAUGAGGUCCAGCACAUACAGCCGGAUUUAAUGUCCAAUCAUUCAAAACCAUGAGAUCAUGAUAAUAUUUAGAUGAAAAACCAAAGGACUGACUUUUGUCAGAAAGAACAAAUCUGGUCUAAAGUCAAGUCUGGUCUCUCUCUCUCUCUCUCUCUCUCUCUCUCUCUCUCUCUCUCUCUCUCUCUCUCUCUCUCUCUCAUUUACAGCAGUGUGAUUGCCCAUAGCACCACCAUCUGCCAGCUCACGCAAGGUGAAAAACUAAGUACUCUAGUGGGAUGAAUGAGUGAUAGGAGCAAGACUGCCAUGAGUGUGUACGCUUUCAUGCUAUUCCCAUUUACCCACACACACCCAUCUGAUCAUCAACCCUGGUGUAAACAGCUCACUCUUUUCAAAGCUGCUGUGGCUGUCUCCUGGCAGAAACCAGAUAUGAAGCUGAAGUUUAUCCAAAGAGACUGACUGUCAAGAUUAAGAAUGUUUGAUCUCUGCAGAUUAAGACCUGAGCGGAUCUUGUAUUAUAUGUGGGUUCAACGUACAAUUUUUCGUGUCUCAAUAAACACUGCAUCAGUCAUCUAAUUUUUGAUUUGUUAAGUUGUGUCAGUCAUUUUGGGGAUUUUUUUUUGCUGUUAAUCAUAUUUGAAUGGUUAUAAAUAUAGGUCUGCAUUGGCCAAACUGAAUUUGUCUUGCAAAUUGAGGACAUGUCCUUCAGUGCUUUGGUACCUUCACUACAGGCCAAAAGUUUGGAAGCAAGGCCAUUACAGGCCGAACAGUUGGGAGUAACUUCAAGUUUUUGUUCACAAUGCUUUUUUUAAAAUCCAGCACGAGUUUUAUGUAUUUUGGGAUAUUUACUCCAUGAUCAGAUGUUGCUUUCAUGGAAAUGCACCAUUUUACUCCAUUUAACAGACCAUUGCUAAAUAUAUGUCAGCAAAAGAAAAUAAGGGCUUGGUUGCAGGGUCGAAAACAUUUGCACGAGUCACAACUUCAGUGCAAAAGCAAAAAAAAAAAACAAAUCACAGUUGGAUUAUUCACUUUUACUUUUUGGCUUUCGAGAGUCUGCAUACAAAAAUCCUAACAAAUAUCAACUGCAUUCAAAAUGCCACAGAAAUGGCUAGAAAGAAGCAACUGAGUAAAGAAACAAAAGUACAGAUUUGUACAUUGAGGAAAGAAGGAUUCACAGAAAGAGAAAAUCGCAAAACGCCUAAAGGUGUUUAAGAAAGUAGUCCACUACACUCUGAAGAGACUAGAGGAACCUGGCAGUUAUGAUGAUAGAAAAAGACCUGGACAAAAGAGAGUUACUACAAAAGCAGAGGAUAAACAUAGUAUUGUCACCAGUGAGAGAGAUCGGCGAAAGACAGCACCAAAAAUAAGGGAGGAAAUCAACAUGACAAGGUCAAAACCCAUAUUUCUGACAACCGUGAAAUGAAGUUUGAGAAAGGCUGGUCUGAAGGGUUGUGUAUCUGCAAAAAAACACUACUUCAUCC